rnacentral:lncRNA from 1 species
GUUCUUAUUGCAGGGCCUCCCAGGUGGUUCGAGAAGGCAUCUGAAAGACGAACGGGUCGGACGAUCGGGUACAGGAUCAGAGGGACGGUUCGGUGUCGGGCUCUAACACCAAAACAAUCACUUUAACACCAAAAAAGUUAGAAACAAAUCUAUUCAUCGCAAUGUGUAAAACGAUAACGUAACCAAAGUUCUACAAAAAGUGAAAAUGGCGUAUGAACAUGCUCAACUCUGUCAACUCUUCCCCACUUAACGUAAUUAUAUCACGUCAUUCAAAUCAUAUCUCUAUCAUACCAAAACUAAUCUUACCUUCUAAAUUUCGUGUUAUCUUAUAACUAAACAUUAAAUAAAGUAAUAAUUUUUUAUAAAAUAUGUUUUUUCAACGAAGGAGAGCAAAACUCCUUUCAAUAUAUAUCUUCCUUUACAAGCAAUGUUCUAAAUACAUUUUUUUUUCUGCAACCACUUCCUCAUUACAACUAUGCUCAAUUUUCUUACUUUUCCCUGCCCAUGACAAUUUUGUAGAGUCUGUUCAAACUAUGAAUGUGUAGUUACAUCUUGUGUGCAUUCCAUUUUUUAUCCACAAUCUGUACCUGUUGAGCACAAUAUUUAUAAAUAUCUGGUCAAUGCCGAAGUCUGCAAUUUUACCAAUCCAGUGCAAUUUGAAUGGUUAAAUUUUGUUAAAAAUUAUAAAGGUGGGUACAUUAGUAAUUUUGAAAAAAAAAAUCAAACAUUUUGGUAAUUUUGUUUCCAAAUAUAGUAAUAAUUUGGGAGGGGUAAUGAUAAGUGGAAGAGACAUACUUUCCCUUGCCUGAGAUUAUUUUUCCUAGUAGAUUGCACUAAGUUUCAUUAGUUAUAGAUUGCAAAGGAUGAAUAUACUUUGAAUCCUCUGUGUAGUGGAGGAGGGUCGGUCGAGUCGGUCGGAUCAAAUGUAGUGGAGGAAGCCCGGUCGGGCCGGCUGCCAAAGUUGCAGGGGGCGAAGGCGACCUAAGGCCGAGCGGAGUGAAUCAAACGGAUGCGGGGGUGNNNNNNNNNNNNNNNNNNNNNNNNNNNNNNNNNNNNNNNNNNNNNNNNNNNNNNNNNNNNNNNNNNNNNNNNNNNNNNNNNNNNNNNNNNNNNNNNNNNNNNNNNNNNNNNNNNNNNNNNNNNNNNNNNNNNNNNNNNNNNNNNNNNNNNNNNNNNNNNNNNNNNNNNNNNNNNNNNNNNNNNNNNNNNNNNNNNNNNNNNNNNNNNNNNNNNNNNNNNNNNNNNNNNNNNNNNNNNNNNNNNNNNNNNNNNNNNNNNNNNNNNNNNNNNNNNNNNNNNNNNNNNNNNNNNNNNNNNNNNNNNNNNNNNNNNNNNNNNNNGCAGUCUAUAAAUAGGGACAACAGGACAGGUAAAGUAAGUUUUGAAUCCAAUUGAAAUCGGUCCAGUUAACUGAUCCACAAUCUGACUUGGGCGUCAGAGUGUUCUUUUUGCAGGACCUCCCGAUUGAUCCCUACAAGAUACCGCUAGGACGAACGGGUCAGGCGAUCGGAAGCAGGACGAGUAGGUUGGUUCGGUCUCGGGCUCUAACACUGAAACAUUUGGCGCCCACCGUGGGGCCCGAAAUCGUGAUUUACCCAGAAACGAGUACAAUGGCUGAGCAGUUACAGUUGCAAGUUCUGCAGGAGAUGCAGAGGCAGAUGCAAGAAAUGAGGGCGGAGAUAGCGGCUCUGAGAGCAGAGCGGGAGAACGUGGUGGUAGGAGCUUCGGUGCAAUCGGUGAAUGUGCAAACUAUCCACUCUGGAGAUGAGGAGGUCAGUCGGCGUCCAUCGGUGGAGGAGGUGGGAGAGGUUGCUGGAGGGGAAAUUGUAGGAGGAGGUCGAGGAAGAGGGACUGGCCGGGGGGAGGGACUGGCCGGGGGCAAGCGCCAACGGGAAGAGGGGUCGGUCAGGGGGAUGGUCCGAAUGGGAGGGGGAUCGGUAGAGGAGAGGGGUUAAACGGGAGAGGGAGGGGGAGAAACGGUUAGGGAAGGGGAAGGGGCAGAGGUGAGGAAAACAUAGGGCGCGACCAAGAAAACCCGGAGGGGCAUAGGGAGCUUGCACGGCAGAAUCCGCAGUUUGAAGAGAUUUGGGAGGAUGAAGACCAGUUUGAUCAGGCCAAGGGGUUGCACCCGUUCACUCAUAACGUUAUGGGGGCAGUAAUGCCGGAGAAUAAGGUCUUCCCGUGGGUCGAGAAGUAUGGAGGCACAUCAGAUCCGGUGAAGCAUCUGAGAUCGUUCGUGGAUGCUAUGGCGGUCUAUUCAUCCAAUGAGCUGGUCUGGUGCAGGGUAUUCUCUUUAUCUUUGAAGGAUGAGGCUUUGGAUUGGUUUCACUCGCUGCCACCUCGCAGUAUUGAUGGGUUCGUUACCCUGAGGCAGUUGUUUAGCCAGCAGUACGCUUCAAAUCGUUCGCGAGGUUUGACUUAUACGGCCCUUGUCAGGAUGAAACAAGGGCGGGAAGAAUCAUUGAAGGGGUUUAUGGAGCGCUUCAACUGAACCGUUCGGCAGGUGCGAAAUGUAGACCAACGCCUGAUAGUAAGCGCACUUACAACAGCGCUUAGACCCGACCCUUUCGUGGACUAUCUGUACGAGGAGGAACCCCAAUCUAUGGGUGAGCUGCAGAAUAAGCUGGCCGGGUUUAUACGAAUAGAGGAGGGGAGGUCGUAUCGCAACGAUCAGGGGGAGGAAGGAACAGCGAGGGAGAAGUCGGGGCGGGACCGAAGAGGAGAAAAACGACCGGUCAGUGGGGAGCAUAGGAUGACGGUGAAGCGGGGGGCGGAAAUACAAAGAGCGCAGCAGUAUUUCCAUCACACUCCGUUGAGUGCCCCGAGGGUGAGAGUCCUGGAAGAAGCCUUAAGGGCUAACCUGCUGACGGUGGCACGCUCCCCGACCCCUCGGGGAGCGGAUGAGAGUAAGCAUUGCCUUUAUCAUCAGAACAUGGGACAUUCCACAGAGGAUUGUGUCGCGUUGAGGGACAAGUUAGAGAGUUUGGUACAGGCUGGGCACCUGAGGGAGUUUGUCCUUAGGGAGAAUCCUAACUCGAGAGGGGCCACGGGAAGACACAGAGGUCAAUUACCGGUCGGCCAGAGGGCUCAACCGACCGCCGAACGGAUGGAGGGCGAGGGAAGUGGAGAUAGGCCUCUGAGAGGAGUAAUAAAUACCAUUUCGGGCGGGUUUGCUGGAGGAGGGGCGUCCUCAGCCGCCCGAAAGUGACAUUUGAGAAACCUGCAUAGCGUGAACAAGGUGGGGAUCGGUAGAAGAACCAUGCCGUCCAUAACAUUCUCGGAUGAGGAUUUCCAUGCACCGGACCCGGACCAGGAUGACCCCAUGGUCAUAACGACCAUCAUCGCUCGGUACAGUGUAGGAAAGGUGCUGGUCGAUCAGGGGAGUUCGGCCAAUAUCUUGUACUGGAAAACCUUCCAGCAGAUGGAAAUACCGGACGAGUCGAUCAUGUCGUUUAACGAGCAGAUCUUGUGAUUCGCAGGAGAACGGGUUGACACAAGGGGGUACGUGGACCUAAGGGUGAGCUUAGGAACGGAGACGGGGGCGAAAGAGCUAAGAGUGCGUUUCCUGCUGGUAGAGGCGGAAACUUCUUACAACGUGUUGUUGGGACGACCAUGUCUCAACGCGUUUGGAGCAAUAGUGUCUACCCCGCACUUAGCAAUGAAGUAUCCGGCAGACGACGGCACAAUCCGGACGGUCAGAGCCGAUCAGAGGGUAGCAAGGGAGUGUUAUGCAACGGGGCUAAAAGUGCAGCACCCAAGGCAUAGGGUGUGCGAGGCCCGGGCGGCAGUAUCGGCUGCAGAGUUGGACCCAAGAGAAGACACCACCGACCGGGUGGAACCGAUGGGAGAACUCCAGCCAUGUCUCCUGGAAAAUGAGGACCGGGUGACAAUGGUUGGCAAGGACCUUCAGGAGGACGAGAGGCGAAGGUUGGAGGGGGUGCUGGUAGAGAAUAAGGAUCUAUUCGCCUGGACUGCAUCAGACAUGCCAGGAAUCCAUCCUGACGUUAUUUCACACAGGUUGUCUGUAUUUCGAGAUGCUCGACCGGUAUCUCAGAAGAAGAGGAGGUUAGGUAUGGAGAAGAGAAGGGCGGUAGGUGAAGAGGUGUGGAAGUUAAUCGAGGCCGGAUUCAUCAGAGAAGUCAAGUAUACCACUUGGUUGGCCAAUGUGGUCAUGGUUAAGAAGUCCAGUGGUAAGUGGAGAAUGUGCAUUGACUUUAGCGAUCUGAACAAAGCUUGCCCGAAGGAUACAUAUCCCCUACCGAACAUCGAUGCGUUGGUAGACGGAGUGUCUGGGUAUGAGGUGAUGAGUUUUCUGGACGCCUAUUCGGGAUACAAUCAGAUACCUAUGUACCGGCCGGACAGCGACAAAACCGCUUUCAUUACCGAGCAAGGAACCUUUUGUUACGAGGUCAUGCCGUUCGGACUAAAGAAUGCAGGGGCUACAUACCAGAGGCUAAUGGAUAAGGUCUUCCAAGGGCAAAUAGGCAGGUGCAUGGAAGUGUAUGUUGAUGAUAUGGUGGUGAGGAGCCUGUCGGUUGAGGAGCAUCUAGCGGAUUUGAAAGAGGUCAUGGGGCAACUUCGAAAGUUUGAUAUGCGCCUAAAUCCCGCUAAGUGUACCUUCGGGGUAAGGGCGGGGAAAUUUCUGGGCUUCAUGCUCACCGCUCGGGGAAUUGAAGCAAAUCCCGACAAGUGUAAGGCGGUGUUGGAGAUGAGAAGUCCCCAGACGGUGAAAGAGGUUCAGAGGUUAGUAGGGCGGUUGACGUCGUUGUCGCGGUUCAUCCCUCAUCUGGCUGGUCGGUCAAAGCCGAUCGUCCGGGCUAUGAAGAAGACCGCACAGGGAUGUUGGGACAAGGAGAGCGAGGAGGCUUUCAAGCGUAUAAAGGAAGUUCUUACCCAGCCCCCCGUAAUGGGCCGGCCAAAGCCUGGUCACGAACUACAAAUAUACUUGGCUGUUUCGGAGGGGGCCAUUAGCGCAGCCUUGAUACAGGAAGUUCCACAAUUCAAACUGGUAUAUUUCGUUAGCAGAAGCUUAAAGGAAGCAGAGAUAAGGUACCAACAGUUGGAGAAGGUGGCCCUAUCCCUAAUUUAUGCCGCUCGGCGUUUGCGGCCAUACUUCCAAGGGUUCCAAGUCGUGGUCCGAACGGACUACCCGAUAGUUAAGAUCCUACGAAAACCAGAUUUGGCGGGUCGGAUGAUAGGGUGGUCAGUAGAGCUAUCGGAGUUCGGAUUGAGGUACGAGCCGCGAGGGACGGUGCGGGGUCAACACUUGGCAGAUUUUGUUGUCGAUCUACUCCCUGAAGAGGAGGAGUUCUGUUGGAAACUUUCGGUUGAUGGUUCAUCUAGUCGAAGGUGAGGAGGAGCGGGGGUGGUCUUAGAAGGACCCAAUGGGAUACUAGUGGAACAAUCGUUGAUGUUCCAGUUCAAAGUCAGCAACAACCAAGCCGAAUAUGAGGCUUUGCUGGCCGGGAUGGAAUUGGCCAAAGACCUGGUGGUAGGUCGGCUGGAAUGUCAAACAGAUUCCCAAUUGGUCGAAGGGCAGAUGAACGGGAACUUCCAGGUAAAGGAUGAUCUCUUGUUGCAGUAUUUUCACAAGGCUAAGCAAUUGGUCUCGAGCUUCAAGGAGUUCACAUUGCGGCACGUUCCUCGGUCGGAAAACAUCCGAGCCGACACACUCUCGAAGCUGGCCGGCGGAGUCACGAAAUGAGGAUUGUCUUCAGUAAUCAAACAGGUAAUAACCAAGUCGACGGUAGAAUGUUGCGCCAUUACUACCGAGGGAAUAAUGAAUACCUGGAAGGACGACAUAAUACAGUUGAUUUGGAAGCAAGAUAAUGGGGAAACCUUGAAUACCGAGGAGACCAAGAAGAUCGCUCGGUAUUGCCUGAUCGGUGAUGAGCUCUACCGAAGGGGUUAUGUCACACCUUUACUGAAGUGUUUGCUGGAAAGGGAAGCAGAGUAUGUAAUGAAGGAGUUGCAUGAGGAGGUAUGCGGAAGGCAUACGGGUGGGCGAACGUUGCGGGCAAGGGUGCUAAGGGCAGGAUUUUUCUGGCCAUCGUUGGAGAAAGAUUGUAUGGCGUUCGUCAAAAAAUGCGAAGCCUGCCAAAAACACGGGAAUGUUUUCCAUGGGCCAGCGGUGGAGUUGCAAGGCAUAAUGUCCCCUUGGCCGUUCGCCCAGUGGGGAAUGGACAUUGUUGGACCCCUGCCUACCGGGCGGUCUCAGAUGAGGUUCUUGCUGGUAGCAGUGGACUACUUCACUAAAUGGGUAGAAGCUGAACCUUUGGCAAAGAUUUCUGCCACCCAAGUUCAGAAAUUCGUAUGGAAGAUGCUUUUUAUCGAGAGUGGGGCAUAACUCAUGUCACCAGUUCGGUUGAGCACCCCCAGACGAACGGCCAGGCGGAGGCAAUGAAUAAAAUAAUCAUACAAGAGUUGAAGAGAAGGUUGGGCGAGGCAAAGGGUGCCUGGGUUGAUGAGUUACCAUCGGUCCUAUGGGGGUAUCGAUGUUCCCCGCACGGCGCAACAGGAGAGUCCCCGUUCAACUUGACCUAUGGGACGGAUGCGAUGAUGCCGGUCGAGGUGGGCGAGGAAACACUGAGAAGACGGUUGAAUGACUCAGGGGCGAAUGAAGAGGGUCUGAGGGGAAACCUGGACGUGUUGCAAGAAAGAAGGGAAGCUGCAGCGGUCCGGGUGGAAACACUAAAAAGGUUGGUCGCACGAAGAUACAACACUAAGGUGCGACCAAGACUCUUAGUGGAGGGCGAUCUGGUCUGGAGGAAGGUCGGGGAAGCUCGAAGGGAGAAGAUUCACGGAAAAUUGGCGGUCAGUUGGGAGGGGCCAUUCAGAAUAAGUGAAAGUUUGAAUAACGGGGCUUACCGAUUGGAGCGCCUGGACGGGAGGCCAAUUCCAAAUACAUGGAAUAUAUCUCAUCUCAAAUUGUACUUCAGUUAAAAUAUUCUCUUUUUGUGCAACAAUAAAGCAUGUACUUAUGAAAUCACGAGUUGAAUGAUAUGAGGCGUUUCAUUAUUACUUAAUCAUGACUUCUCGUUCGGGGGAUAAGGUAUGAGGAGGAGGAACGUUCCGGCGUUCCUCCCGAUCGGUGGUAUAAGGAGGGGAAAAGGUCCGGCGUCCCAAUGAAGUCAGGAAAAUGACUUCCUUUAACUUGGAAGAAUUGGGGAAAGUCAGGAAAAUGACUUCCCGUUCGGUGGAAAAGGAGNNNNNNNNNNNNNNNNNNNNNNNNNNNNNNNNNNNNNNNNNNNNNNNNNNNNNNNNNNNNNNNNNNNNNNNNNNNNNNNNNNNNNNNNNNNNNNNNNNNNNNNNNNNNNNNNNNNNNNNNNNNNNNNNNNNNNNNNNNNNNNNNNNNNNNNNNNNNNNNNNNNNNNNNNNNNNNNNNNNNNNNNNNNNNNNNNNNNNNNNNNNNNNNNNNNNNNNNNNNNNNNNNNNNNNNNNNNNNNNNNNNNNNNNNNNNNNNNNNNNNNNNNNNNNNNNNNNNNNNNNNNNNNNNNNNNNNNNNNNNNNNNNNNNNNNNNNNNNNNNNNNNNNNNNNNNNNNNNNNNNNNNNNNNNNNNNNNNNNNNNNNNNNNNNNNNNNNNNNNNNNNNNNNNNNNNNNNNNNNNNNNNNNNNNNNNNNNNNNNNNNNNNNNNNNNNNNNNNNNNNNNNNNNNNNNNNNNNNNNNNNNNNNNNNNNNNNNNNNNNNNNNNNNNNNNNNNNNNNNNNNNNNNNNNNNNNNNNNNNNNNNNNNNNNNNNNNNNNNNNNNNNNNNNNNNNNNNNNNNNNNNNNNNNNNNNNNNNNNNNNNNNNNNNNNNNNNNNNNNNNNNNNNNNNNNNNNNNNNNNNNNNNNNNNNNNNNNNNNNNNNNNNNNNNNNNNNNNNNNNNNNNNNNNNNNNNNNNNNNNNNNNNNNNNNNNNNNCGGCGUUCCUACCGAUCGGUGGUAUAAGGGGGAGGAACGUUCCGGUGUUCCUCCCGAUCGGUGGUAUAAGGAGGGGAAAUGCUCCGGCAUCCCAAUGAAGUCAGGAAAAUGACUUCCUUUAACUUAGAAGAGUUGGGGAAAGCGUUGAUUGUCAAACAUAGAUACAAGGGCGUUCAAGAAUAAAUAAAUACAUCGGUCGACAAAAUACAGAUUGCAGAAAUAUGGUAAUCGCAAAUUGUAAAUACGAGAUAAUUGCGAAGUAAAGGUAAAGAUACGCGACAGGUUCAGUACAAACGAAGUGUGAAUACAAAUUACAAAGCAGCGCAAGGAAAACAAGAAACUAGCAUUUAAUCCUUCGUUGGAGGGGGGAGCAAGUUGGGAAGCCUGGAGAGCGUCGGUCGGGACUGCCUGGUCGGGCGCGCCAACUGGUUCGGCAGGGAACUGGGAGGAGAUAUCAACGAGUUGCCCGUCCACUAAAAUCUUCAUAAUGUCAAAGCCUUCGUGUUCUAAAGGUGACUGGAAGAAGUAGUGACAUUGAGCGAUCCCCUGCUCAAAACCCCGUUGGCGCUCUUCACAAAAUUCGUCCUCCAAAGCAGCAAAGUCGGCCAAUGACUUGUCCCGGUCGGCAAUGGCAGCAACUUUCUCGGAUGUUAAUUGAUUGAUUUGAUUGGAAGAUUGUUGAAGGCUGAUAGUUAGGGAGUCCACUGAUUGCUGAAGGCGCUUAGCCUCAUUUUGGGACUCCAGGAGGGAGGCAGCAGCCUUCGCCCGAUCAUCCUCUGCUUGUUUGUUCGCUUUCUCGAGUCGUUCAGUAAGCAGAGCGAGGUCCUUCUGAGCCUUUUCCAAUUUAGUGUUGGAAAUUUCAAGUUCGGACACUAAGAGAGGUUUGGUGGUCCCUGCGGCAUAGUUUAGGCAGACGCCAGCCCGGGAGAACAGUUCGUAGGCCAUGUCAUAAGCUUCCGAAGGCGUUAGCUUCUUGAAAGGCUCUCGUUCUUCCGGAGUCAAGUUGAACACGAGACGGUCAGACACAUGGAGGUUCGGGUCAAAGGGACCAGAUGGGAGGGGGCCGGAGUUUCUUUUCCUUUUUGGAGAGGGUGUCUUUUCCUGAGAAGGGCGUUUUCUACCCUUGGCCUUCGGGCCGGAGGAGAUCACGAUCGGCUUGGACUCAUCAGUCUUCGGGACGGUGAGAGCGGCAGGAGAAGCAGAGCUGGAAGGGGCAACAGUUGAGGAGGAGGGAACAGUAACAUGCCCGCUGCGUUGGUUCUUGCGGGCCAAAGCUCGGGCAAAUGCUUGAUGUUUCUCCAUGCCUCCAAAGAAAUCUGCAAGGAAAGCGCAAACUUAGCAAGUUAAUAAUGACCGGUCGAUAGUCCCAAAAUGUAAAAGAACUUACCGAACACUCUAGUACGUAGAGUGUCAGAGUCAGAUCCGAUGAGUUCGAUGAGCUUGCGAGAGGAGGUCUUGCGAGGCAGCUGAUUGAUUUGGCGUAUCACCUCUAACUCAUCGUCAGUCAUGUCGGACUUCUUCCAAGAAAUGACUUGUUUGAGAUGUUCGGUCCAGUAGAGAGGAAAUUUAGGCCGGCCUUGGAAAAAUACUUGGGCCGGCCGGGUUCGCGUAUGCCGACUUUGAAGAAAUUUGAUUUAAAAUCCUUAUAAGAGGAGUUGAAGGGGGCAAAUAGCUGUUUAUCCUUUACAGGGAUCAGAGAAAUCCAACUCUUAUUGGGAUGGGGCAAGGCACGAAAGAAGAAGAGGAAAGACGCGGGAGUGGGGGUUAACAAUAAAUCGGUACAUAGGACGGAAAAGGCUUGCAUGCAUGCCCAGCCGUUCGGGUGGAGUUGGGCGGGACAAAUGUUUAGUUCGCGGAGCACGCCGCACUGAAAGUCUGAAAAAGGAAGCCUCACCCCCAAGUCACGAAAAAGGGUUAAAUAAGCGUAAAAGAAGUCUAGGGCAUACCCCUCCCGACCGUGGCACACCCGCUCGUUAGAACGACAUACCACCAAGGAUAUGUCAGCCGCAUCUCGACGGAGAUUGGACAUUAGAUCCACCGAUUCAAGCAAACGAAUGAUGGAAGAGGUAGAAAUGAAGUAGGAAGGGUGACCCCGGACUUCGUGGGGAGCCCAGUCGUAACCGGCGAUGGCGGGAGGAGGAGCCACACCGGUCCACUCUAAGGAGUUGUCGACGUUGAAUUCAACAUCGUCGGCGGGAGCCUCCUCCCGAGCGGGGCAACCGGACGAGGUAGAUGACGAAGAGGGAGAGGAAGUCGACGCAGCCGCAUCGUUAGCAUACCCCCGACCUUCAUUCUCGAACUCAUCGGAGGACCACGACGACGUAGACAUUUACCUGGGCAACCGGAGGAAGGAAACAGAAGGAUGGGAAGAGAGUAGAGUAGGAACGGGAAUCGGAGAGCAGAUGGAAGAGGAUGGGGGAAUGAAGAGGGGGCCCUCCACCUUUUAUAGCCGAAAAAGGGGGCUUCAAAAGAACAUCUCAGUCGUCCAUCGAUGACAAAUCCAACGGAGGACAAUUUGCGACUCUUCGGUGAACAGGUGUGAUUGAUGGGGGAGAAGAUCAUGGCCGUUGCUGAAUACAGGAUCGAAUGGCUGUAAUAACGAGACGUUUCGUUGCCUGAAAACAUUGAGAACUCAAACCCCUUCGCGAAUCGAAGACGCUCGGGGCUUGGGGGGCUUGUGUAGUGGAGGAGGGUCGGUCGAGUCGGUCAGAUCAAACGUAGUGGAGGAAGCCCGGUCGGGCCGGCUGCCAAAGUUGCAGGGGGCGAAGGCGACCUAAGGCCGNNNNNNNNNNNNNNNNNNNNNNNNNNNNNNNNNNNNNNNNNNNNNNNNNNNNNNNNNNNNNNNNNNNNNNNNNNNNNNNNNNNNNNNNNNNNNNNNNNNNNNNNNNNNNNNNNNNNNNNNNNNNNNNNNNNNNNNNNNNNNNNNNNNNNNNNNNNNNNNNNNNNNNNNNNNNNNNNNNNNNNNNNNNNNNNNNNNNNNNNNNNNNNNNNNNNNNNNNNNNNNNNNNNNNNNNNNNNNNNNNNNNNNNNNNNNNNNNNNNNNNNNNNNNNNNNNNNNNNNNNNNNNNNNNNNNNNNNNNNNNNNNNNNNNNNNNNNNNNNNNNNNNNNNNNAUCUGACUUGGGCGUUGGAGUGUUCUUUUUGCAGGACCUCCCGGUUGAUCCCUACAAGAUACCGCUAGGACGAACGGGUCAGGCGAUCGGAAGCAGGACGAGUAGGUUGGUUCGGUCUCGGGCUCUAACACUGAAACACUCUAAUUUCAUAUAAGACACUUAUUUCAAUUUUCAGAUGAUUUUGUUGAUAAAAAGGGGAUGGGUCAAUAUCUUGUGGAACAAAGUUGCAUGUACAUUUCAUCUCCCGAUUUACUUAUAAAACUAUGGAAAUAAACCCUCUUCUUACAAACCCUCCGGCUGCAUAUUAUCUAUUUGUAAAAGUUUUUGUCACUGGUCAUAUACUCUUGGGAUUGUAAGAUCUGUCAAACACGGGUCAUAUAAGUCCUUCAACCUCAUAUAAGUAUCGAUACGUUCUCUUUUUCCGGUUUAUAUUGGAUUGUGAAAUCAAAGUCCAAGAACUUCGAUAACCAUUAUUGUUGCUCUAGAGUUUGUAAGAGUUGUUCUACUAAUUCCUUUAAGUUCUUUUGAUCUGUUUUAAUAAUAAACUUGUUGUUCUAAGAGAUAGUGUCUAAAUUUUGACAAUGCCUCAGUAAUCGCAUAAAACUCACAUGUAUACACAUAUUGUUUUUGCAUUCUCAAUGAAAUUUCUUAGAGAAAUAAACUAUGGGAUGAAUACCUUGACUUAAAAUUGCUUCUACACCCAAGCCAAAAGCAUCUAUUUCAAGAAAAAAAAAGGGCUGAAAAAGGGUUGUAGUGAGUGCUUCCUUCAAUUGUGUAAUCAUUACUUCAGUCCAUUUGAAAGCAUUUAUCUUCAACAAAUCAAUUAGUAGAGCUACUAUUUGGGCACACCCUUUAACAAAUCGCCAGUAAUACCCUAUAAGACUUAGAAAACUGCACAAAUGUUUCAAGUUAAUUAGUCUUGGCCACAUUUUGACAACCUCCACUUUUUUACAAUUCACAGCAACCCUGAAUCCUGAGAGUGUGUGACCAAGAUAGUCCAUUUCCUCUACUCCAAAUGAAUAUUUGGAGAACCUAGCAUACAAUCGAUGACGCUGUAAAAUAUGCAAAACCACUUCUAAAUGAUGCACAUGUUCCUUUAAUAGAACUAUAUACAAGGAUAUCAUUGAAAAAAACAACAAUUUUUUUCAAUAUUCCUUGAAAAAUAUGAUUCAUAAGACUUUGAAAAGUGGUUGGAACGUUUGUGAGUCCAAAGGAUAUUAGCAUACACUUGAAAUGUCCAUCGGAAGGCAGUUUUAUAACGAUCUUUCGAAUUCAACAAGAUUUGAUGAUAUUCUGAUCUCAAAUCUAAUUUAGAAAAGAUCAUAGCAUCAAAAAGUUCAUCAAUCAGCUCAUCAAAAGUUGGUACAGAAAACUAUCUUUUAUAGUUGUUGCAUUCAGUGCUCUUUAGUCAGUACAAACCCUUCAAAAACCAUCUUGAUAGACACUCUUCUUACAAACCUUGGCAAUUACAUAUUAUCUCAAGCGUUUGUAAAACUAAUUCUUAGAUAUGAAAAAAAUAUACAAAUGAUCAUUUGUACCCUGGAAAUGCACUUAUAAUGGGCAGGGAAAGGAACUACAUCCAUUCCUGAUAGAGGUGCAUAUGUUUCUACUGAAUCUGAGGUAUUUUUCCUUAAACUCCCCCUAAAAUAAAAACUUUCUUUAUGAAGUAAUGCUUUGCUUGAGGUCCAAGUUUUUUGUUUUCUUCUCUUGACUUUAACUACUCACAUCACCCAACGAUUAAAUUUUUAUUGAGAAAAAUAUAAUAAAGGCGUAUAUCUAAUAUCCUCUAUUUAAAUAUUUUCUUUUCAUCUCCCUGUCUCUCUUGUUUUGGUUAAAUCUUGUAUUGUGUAUUUUUAUGUGUAUUGUAACCCACAUUACAUUGUCAUGAUAGUAAUUUUGUCUUAUCAAUUAGCUAACAGCUGGAAUUAUAAAUUUUAGAUUUUUUGUUCACAUGGCAUUGGAAUACCUGUUCACGUUAUGGAUUUGGUUUCUGUUGUACAAAGAAUAUGAUUAUGUCGCAUCAAUGAGAUUGCAUUUCAUGGCAUCACAACGCAGGCGUGUGGAGCAAUUCAUAGUAAGUUAAAAAUCUUAAUUCAUUUUUCAUUGGGUGGAAUAAAAUUGACAUUGUUUCUUAUUGUUAGAAAGCAUUUCUUGGAGCUCUUCAGUCCUCACCAUUUUUCAAUUGUAGUGAAGUGUCUGAUCCGUUUUUUUUUUAUGUAUUGUGGUAAGGCUUGGAUUGUUCAUUUCAUCAGUUUAUCUUUUACUAGUUAGCAAAGAAUUCAUUGGGCCCAUUCUCAUAUUAUGGAUGCUGCUUAAAAUGCUCCAAAUAUCCUUAGACAGUUUGUAAAUAGAAUUUCUUGCAUUUCCCGAGUUCUUCAUUAGGCUUGUGAGAAUAAGUUGAUGGAGAAGAUGCAACUCUAUGUGUGCUUCUUUGUUAUUCUUUUCUAUAGAUUUGAAUUUAUAAUUAAUGUAUUGGAUUUUGAGUUUGAUAUGUUAUUAUAUGGAUGCAGUGGAAGGCAUGUUUAAUUAGUGGAAUGUGUUGUGCAGGUAGUUAAGGGAGGGAUUUUAGAGAUAGGUUUGUGGCAUACGUGGUUUGACCGAGACUGAGACUUAGCUGUGACGGGGAGGUUCAUUUUUCGAGAAGAGGAUGCGACCUCUAUUUAAUAUUCACAUCAUUAUGUUAGGAUUGAGGAACCUAUUAUCCGGAUUCCAACUACUUGGAUAGGUUCUAAUUUAAUUUGUAAUUUAAUGCGGGUUCUGUUUCAUACUCAUAUCUCUAAUUUAAUUUUAGUUUUUCCUUUUUUUAAUAUCAGGCACUAGGUUUUGCUGGGAACAAAAAAGACCUUGAGGAUAACGUACUAGAAAGUUUUUGAAAAUUUACUACUUGCCUUUGUAAUUAUUUGCUUAUCUCAAACUAAUGGAGGAAAUAGAAAAUAAAUGUAUUUUUGAAUGAAAAAACCGAACAAGAAUUCACUCAAAAGACAAAAACAAUAAGGUUAAAACCACUUUAGCGUUCCUGUUUUCGUUAUGUUUUCCCAAUUGGGUCCCCGUCUUUUAAAAACUCCCAAUUAAGUCCCUUUAAGUGUUAAUUUGAAACCAAUUAACCCUUUCCGUUAAAAAUCGUUAACGGUGUUAAACUAUUACAGAUGUGUUGACUGACGUGGUAGACGUUCUACUGAUUUGCGACAUUUGGCACUGUUGAAUGAAACGUGUCAUGGCCCGCAACAUCUUCUGACCUAAAAAACCUACAGGGGUCAAAUUCCUCUAUCUCAUUUUACUCAAAGAAACUUCAAGAGACCUAGUCUCUCCUCCCCCAAAUGCCAUGCAGCACACAAACUCCCUCCCGUCAGCCACACGCCGUCUGACCGAACGCCGGCCACUGAUCCCAUCCCGCCACCUCAAAUCGCCGGCGGUCACCGCGCUGUGACGUUCUCACCACCCCUCUCUCUGUUCGACCUAAGGUUGGGGUUUCUACUCAAAUACGUCGGCACCUCCUCCAACAGCCACCGCGCCACCACCGUUGAGGUUCGUCUCGCAUCAUCGCCGGCGACGCCAACCCUCCUUCUUCUUCGAACUCAAACACACCAUUGUUGUCAGAGAAGCUAAGCGUUGCCGCCACCGUCGACCACCGGUAGCAGCCGUGAGGAUUGGUCUCCUUCCUGAUUCGCCCUCCGAUGGGUCCCUCAGUGUCGGGCGUGACAGCACAGAGUAUUCUAGAGUCGUGUUGAGCGUAGCAAUUUGGAGAUUACUAAGGGUUGCGUGAUGGUCUGAGAAAUGUUAGGUGAUGAAAGUGACGACGAUGGUUGAAGGAGGCGACUGGCGAUAGAGGUGAUGGACAAAGAUGUUUGUUACUGAUGCUUGGUCCAAUGAUCGGAGAACUUUGCCGAGAAGAACCCGACGAGGUUUUGGUGAGGCUCAUAAGGUGUUCGAUCGUAUGUCCAGCAUGAGUAUAGAUUCUUGAUUCUUGGUGAGAACUUUGCUGCUAUGCGGAACAUGGUUGGGUCGGUUUGAUGAUGGUGUUGUUAUGCUUUCGUUUUCUUUUCUUGACUUGGGCGUGGGUUUUCUGAUGGGAUGAGUGUUGGGCUUGUGAAAGAAAGUUUCACUGUGUGUUUCACAUUGUGCGCGUGUGUUUUGUAAUUUGCGUUUGAUGAUGCGAUGGUGAAGGUUUGGAUAUGGUGGUGGUUGCUUUUUCUUGCAGAGGAAAGAAUUGUGAUUUGUGCGUGAGGGGUUUGGUUUCAUGUUGUUUGAUAGAGGUAGAAGAUGGUCUUGAAGGUAGCUAUAUGGUCCGCUAGAGAAAAAAAAAAACUACCUCUGUUUCUUAUUUUGAUAUGAGAACUGCAUCUGCUUUUGUUUACUUUUCAUCUUAUUACAUGUGUUCUUCUGGGUGGAAGCAGAAGGUAUUGAGUCUUAAUGUGGAAGGGUAGUACAGGCCUAUGUUUAUCGUCGAUUAUGGUUAAUGAAUUUUGCAGGCGUUGAAACUGCAUUUUAAAAUAUAAUUACAAAUCUUAAUGAAUGGAAAAGAUGACACGUUUCAUUCAACAGUGCCAAAUGUCGCAAAUCAGUAGAACGUCUACCACGUCAACCAACACAACUGCAAUAGUUUAACACCGUUAACGAUUUUUAACGGGAAGGGUUAAUUGGUUUCAAAUUAACACUUAAAGGGACUUAAUUGGGAGUUUUGAAAAGACGGGGACCCAAUUGGGAAAACAUAACGAAAACAGGGACGCCAAAGUGGUUUUAACCAAACAGUAAUGAAAGAAUGGAGCCUCUCUAUCAUUCACAGUGAAAGAAAACCUUUUUACAAAGAAUGAGAUGGGAGCAUAAUCUUCCAAGUUGAGAGCAUAAUUCUCUCCACAUGCUAGAGACCUGACUUUAUACAAAAUAUGCUCGAUAAUCCUAUACAGACUAUACAGGAGUCUAUUUAUAGUUGUAGCAACUGUGACCCACUCUUCCUUACAAUAGAAACCCUCAACUCCCUUAACCGUCAUCCACCCACAAAUGUUCGUCUUCUAUCUUGAACCUAUCAUUCUAUAUCCUAACAAUUUGUAUGAUGCUCUUUAGACACACUGUAAGGGAUUAAUUAUUUGUAAUUGGAGAUAAAUAUUUGGUAUUAUAUUUUACAAUUUGACUGUUUUAUUUGACUUUUAUCGAUAUAUGGAAUUGUUAGAUAUUGGAUGUAGAUGUGAGAUUAUCUAAUUUUUUUUUUAUAAUACCAUAAAAUUACAUACGGAUUCUUUUAUAUGUAAUUACAUACAGAAAUUACAUAUGGAUUCUUCCGUAUGUAAUAUAUAAAGAUUUUACAUACGAAUUUUUCGUAUAUAGUUACAUACGGAUAAAUCUAUAUAUAAGUUAUAUACGGAUAUAUCCGUAUAUAACUUAACUACGAUAGUUUCAUAUACAGAUUUUUAUUCAUGUGUAAGCCUUAUGUAAUCAAGUCUUAUAUACAGAUUUUGGACCUUGUACAUGUAUACAAAUUUUAGUGGUAUGUAAUUCAAUUUUUUCUCAUAGUGUGAUUAGAUUAAAUGUACACAAAGAGAGACAAUUCUGGAUUAAAAUUUUAAAUAUAUUGAGUGACAAAAUGUUUUUAAAUAUUAUUUUUAAGUGUAAUGUUGAGAAAAGAAAUUAUAAAUAACUUCCAUAUUUUAAUAAAAGUAAAUUACCCAAGUCCUUAAAAAGAUUAGAAAUAUAUUCUUUAUUGCAUAUAAAAAAAAAUAAUGUUCCCAAUUUUGGAUCAUAUAAUUAUAAUUAUUGAAACUAUGAAAAAGUAACAGAUUACAUAAAAGGUCAUAGUCUCAUCUAUGAACACAUGUAUGAUUCGAGUUUCUUUCUCUUUGUUCCCAUUAGAAAAAAAAAACUAAAAGAAACCAAAGGUGUUUUUUAUGCUUUAUUGUUCUAAAGAAUAUUAGGAACUACUUUAUUUGAAAGGGUUUAUUACUUAUGAUUAUUAUUAAUCUGUAUGAAUCAUGAAUAUAACAAUUAGUAAGAGCAUGUUAAUUUAUUAUUAAUUGACAUGAAUCCUAUUCUGAUUUAUUUGUAGAAUUAGGGAUUUUAAUUUUAAUUGAUUGAUUUAUUUAUGAAAUUAGGGAUUUUGGUUUUAAUUGAUUGAUUGAUUUAUGGAAUUAGGGAAUUUGGUUUUAAUUGAUUGAUUUAUUUGUGGAAUAAAUAUAAUUUUUAAUUAUAUUUUAAUAAAUUUAAAUUUACAUAAUAAAUAAUAUAUUUAAAAUAGUCCGUGCAUUGCCCUCGUAAAAUACUAGUAUAAUUUAUAAAACAUAAGAAAUAUUGCAAGAUUAAAUCUUUAUUCUCUUUCAAUUUAUAUAAUUUGUUAGUUUUUCUCCUCUGUUUUUUUGUCUUCAUUUAUAUAUUUUAAAUUCGUAAAAUAUAUUUAUAUAAUUUUCAACCAUGUCCACUGCUAGAGAAGAAAGAAAGAUAUCUCGGCAGAAUUAUCCAAUAGUUUGACACCCAUACAUAUAACAAAUUAAAAGAAACAAGUGAAACGAAAGACAGAAAAUGACCAGCUCCUCCAUGAAGUAUUGAUAUCAUUGAAUAUUUUCGGGAAGAUGAUCUAAAAUAUAAUGUCCAAUACGACCAGUACGGAAAAGAUUAAGCAACUUCCCAGCAACCUUGUCGUGAGCAUCUUCUUCACAUUCAACUGAAAUAUGUUUCAAAAAGUAUCCGUCGAACAAGCAACUUCUUUUCUCCUGACUAAACAAUCCUCAACUGCUCCUGGAUAAAGAUUGAAAUGAAGGUAUGAGCAAGAACAACAGGAGAUUAUCUAAAAGUUACAAAAGCUAACCUAACAAUAUAACAUAUUUCUCUUUAUUCAAAUUCCUUUUGUUGUUUAGUUCGCUUGGAAGUUAUGAUGUGCUUAUGAAAUGAACACUGCUCUACACUAGUUUUUUAUAACGAAAAGAUAUAUAAGAUGAUACAAAGUUGAAGGAGAGCAUUGAGUAGAAAAGGAAGAAAAUAUCAAGGCAUGGUUAUAUUGGCCGUAGUAUAGUGCAUUUAACAUCUUUCUAGAAGGAAAUUAAUGUAUUGUAGAAAGAAAAGGUCCCUAAACAUGAAAAACCCGAUACUUUAAUGAACAUGAUAAAAUAUAAAAAUACAGCUCUGCAUACCUUCAUCGUGCAUAAUCUAAAAUAGCAGCUCCUAUAAACAUCCAUGAGCAUAACAAUUUAAAGAGGCAAUGUAACACCCAUAAAAAAUGUGAGCAUUUCAGUCCAAUCAAUGCAUAAGCCCUUGGUAUCAAUGCUUGUCAAUCCCACUUUGCUGCUCUCAGUCUUCCCCAAUGCCUUUUCACCACCGACAACAGGCCAUCAUCACUGUUUUCUCCUUCUCAUGUUGGGCACUAAUGCAGGGCACGAGUGACUAAUCCUAUGCUCCAUGUAUUGUUGGUGUUCUAAAAAGAUGGACAAAAAUUAGUUUGUGGCUCUGUUUGCAUGUUUGUUUUGUGGACACUUAGUUUCAUGUAUUUACUUUAUGCAUGUAUUUCCUUUGUACAUCUAGAGGAGAUGUAUUUUGAUGUGUUACUUUAUGCCUAUGUAUGUAUGUUACUUCGUGAUUCUGUUCUAAUUACCGUAAUCACAUUCUGUUCUAAUUACAGUAAUCACACUUUUUGUUAGUUUGUUAGGAUUUGCCAUAUAUUUCUUUUUCCCUUUUUAUGUUCUUCCCUAUCCACAGCGAACUCUCUCCCUUUGAUGUAAAUACACAGAAACAUACAAUAAUAACACAUAUUUAGUUUUAUGCAGUUACCUCCGCUCCUCUGUUCUUCUUCUUCUUUCCCAUUUUUCUUCUUCUUCUUCUCAGAUCUUCUUCACCCUUCGAACCUCUUUCGAUCUCCUUUCUGAGGCCUUCACGCAACUAUCCAUACUCCAUCCUUGAGAGGAACGUUGUUGGUUUGCUGGAGAAUCACCCAGGAGAAGCUUCGGUCUUUCUCUCUGCCAAGGGAUAGCUUCAGCCUUAUCCCUGCUCUGCUCCUCACCUACUUCUCACACCGGAGAAGCUUACAAUCUCUUCUUUUAAAGCCCUACACCUUUAAAUGUUAGGACAAGAAAACAAUCUCUUAAAAGGGUGGAUUAAACAUGUCAGCUACAAUGAAGUAUGAAACCAAAUGACACAUAAUUCAUUCAAUAUUACAUCUCAUCAAGUCCAAACGUCAUUCAAUAAAAUUAAGAAAAAUGACCUAUUUAUUACACAUUUUUUGAAAAAGAAAAAAAUCAAUUAAUUGAGAUUUUCAAACAACUAACCAAGAAUUUAAACCAAAUAUAUUUAGUCCAUGUAGAAUCAGCUUAUUUUUAUUUGGACUCCGUAAAAGACCUCAAUAUUGAAGAAAUAUAUAAACUUAGUUCUGACAUUAUAUUCCAAUAUCAAGAAUUAAGAUACUAACAUCUACAUAUAUAAACUUAGUUCUGACAUUAUAUAUUCAUAUCAUCUCUAAAAUUUAACCAAUCUUAUAAUUAUAAGGAACACGUUUGCUUUCAAUAAUUAAGAUACUAACAUCUACAUGCAAGAGUAACUUGUGUUUAUCUCUCCAAUCCAAUGAUAUAAAAGAUUACAAAAAAAAAAAAAUCAACAUGAAGGCAUAACCUAUACAAAGAAAUGAACAUAAAAAAUCAACGGAAAAUAAUUUUUACAUACGAAAAAAGCUAAAGAUUCCAUUCUUAGCUAUAAGCUUUCACAUAAUUCGAUCCCCAUGUGUCAACAUCCAUUAAAAUAAGUUCAGUGGCUCCAAAAAACAAUCAUAAUUGGUAUUCGAAAAAUAGCUAUAUAUAAGAAUGAAAAUUAAUUUGAUUCUGAUUUAAAAUAAAUAUAAUUUAUCUAGACAAUUUACCCAUUUCAAAACAUAGGCAUAUAUAGCGCCUUAAGGCUGAUCGUUAUUAUUGAAAUGGUAAAAAGCGUUGAGAUUGAGUUAGAGUGAAUAAAAAUUAGCAAGUACCUUAAUGGGGAAAAAAAAUUGUGGAAUAAUAAUAAUAAUAAAAGAUUGUGUGUUUAAUUUAUUUUUGUUUAUUAGGUUUAAAACCUUAAUUGUAAAAUGUAUAGUAUUUAAGGAGUAAAAGAACGGAAUGUAAAGAGAAAAAAAAAAUACCAAUAGAAGAUUAAAAAUAGUAAACCAGAAUAACUUGGAGAUGUCAUUGUUUGUUAUUAGAAACUAAAAAAACAUCACCUUUUUUAAACACUUUUAAAAACUAUUUACGACAAUUUUUUUUGUUUAUUUGGUUUUUUAAAUGGAAAACAAUUUUGAGAAACAGGAAUUGCAAUUGUUAUUUCAGGUCUUAAAGUGAGUAAAGAAAGUACUAUUUUAGUUUANAUACAACGACCAUAUAAAUAAGAUCUAUAGCGACACUCACUAACAAUUAAAACAACAAUCAUUUGUUAAUUCUAUUUUAAUCAAUGAAAAAUUAUAAAGGUAGGAGUAAUAAAAAUUGUAUGGAGAUAAAAAAAUGCGUAAAGCAAAAACAAUUAUAUAGUGAAGGGUUACAAUAAUAUUACCUGUCAACCUUCCCCUUCAAUAUUUUGCAGAACAUAGUUGCUUUUUAAUACAAACAUUUGUCUGCUAAAUUGUACAAGAAGUAGAACUUUCGGAAUAUGGUUAAGCCAAAUGCCAUCCAAAAACUUAUAAUGAAUCCAAAUGUCAUACUGAUAUAAAAUUCACGACUGAAAAAGGAAUAGUCAUCCUUAUGAGUUUCAUUCUUUUUCUCUUUUGGUGGUACUUUAUACACACAUAAUUUCUCAAGAGGUGGUCCGCAAAGAUUGAGAUUAUCUUCAUAGCUCGAAACAUUGAAACUCUGCAAUUGUGUGCUAUGAGGAAUUUCACCAACUAGAUGAUUAUGAGACAAAUCUAACACACUAAGUCGAUCAAUUUGAGCAAGACUUGUAGGAAUUGAACCAAUUAUUUGGUUUCUUGAAAUGUCCAAAAAUUCAAGUGAGGUAAGCUUUCCAAUAUUUGAAGGAAUUUUUCCAGUCAAAUUGUUUCUUGAUAAAUUCAAUGAAACCAAUUCAAAUAAAAUCUCAAUUUCUUCUGGUAUUUCUUCUGAAAAGUAAUUGCUUGAGAGGUCAAUGCUUUUUAAAAGUAAUAAUUCAAUACUCUUGAACAUUUGUUGUGAACCUUUCCACAUUAAGAGUAUAUUCAAAGCAUACGAUUGAGAGCUAAUAUACAAAUGUUUUGUCUCAACUUCAUACCCAUAAUCUCUUCUUGAAGAUGCCUUUUCAGCCAUUGAAGUAAAAUUUUUUAUACAUUUAGGAAUUCGUCCAGACAAACUGUUGAGUGAGAGAUCUAAGAGUUGAAUGUUUCUUAGGUGACAAAUUUGCAAUGGUAAGUUUCCUUGAAAAUGAUUCCUUCUUAAACUUAAAUAUUGCAACUUUCCUAAUUUGCUCCCAAUCCAACCAGGAACAGAUCCUGAUAAAUUAUUUUCUGCAAUAUCUAUCAUCACUAGCUUUGUGCAAUGCCUUAAGGAGAAAGGAAUGCCAUAUGUUAAGUUGUUGUUUCUCAAAAACAAUGCUUGAAGAUCAUGGAGGGAUCCUAUUGAAGUAGGAAUCUUUCCUGACAAUUGAUUUUGACUCAAAUCCAAAAAAGCUAAUGACUUGAAAUGGCUCCAACAAUCUGGAAUUUGUCCAGACAAGUUAUUAUUUGAAAUGUCUAACUGGUAUAAUUUUCCAAUUGGAUCACCCACACAUAAAAAUGAAAGAGAGCCUGAAAACUUAUUCUUGGAUAAAUCAAGCAAUAUGGAACUUCUAAGAAAUGGGGAAAUAGGACCUUCAAAUUGAUUUGAUCCAAGAAUUAGAGAAUGAUAAGGAUUCUUUGUUGGAAAAUACGGAAUUAUACCAUGUAGACUAUUGCAUGAAAUAUUCAUUGAAACCCAUUUUCGCAAUGCUAAUUUAGUCCAAAACCACUUCGGAACCAUAUAUGAUAUUCCAGCAUUUGAAAUAUCCAAAUCGCGAAACUCAUUUUGUGUUUGUAACCAUUUGGGGAAUGUUGGACCAAGGAUGCAUGAUUGCAAUCCUACUUUCCUUAAUUGAAAAGGUGGGACCCAAUUUUGAGUAAAUGUCAAGGAUAAUAAAGAAUUUCCAGAUAAGUCUAAUGAAUUUAACUUUGACAAAUUGGCAAAUUGGUAAUCACUUAGCACACCCUUUAAGGAGUUUGAUUGCAUAUAAAGUUCUUCCAAUUGAUGUGGAAAUUGAAUAUCAUUAGGAAACUCCCCAUUCAACUUGUUUUUACGAAGAGAGAGAAUUUUUAAAGACGAGAAAAUUGAGAGGUCAGGCAAUGUACCAUUGAUUUGAUUCCAGCCUAGAUCUAAGCUUUCCAAUGAAUAUCUAGCACACCCAGAUAAGUGAUGGACUAUCAAUGGAAACUCUUGACGCAAGCUAUUGUUAAACAUAUUCAACAACCGCAAAGCACAUGCAUUGCCAAAUGAUUUUGGAAUUCCACCUUCUAAAAAAUUUGAUCCAAUUGAGAGAGACUCCAACUGAGAUGGCAAUUGGUUACCUUCUGGUAUCUCUCCAGUUAACUGAUUAUAUGAAAGAUCCAAUAUUUUCAGGUUUGAAAAUCUUGAAAGGUCAGGGAAUGUGCCAUUGAUAUUAUUUCCUCCCAACUUCAAAUCUUGUAGCACGUUUUUAGCACAUCCAGACAAGUGCUGGAAUAUCAAUGAAAACUCGCCACUUAAUAAAUUAUAAGACAUGUCCAAUGAGUGUAAGGUGCAUGUAUUUCCAAAUGAUUUUGGAAUUUCACCUUCUAAAAAGUUGAAUAGGAGUGAUAAUGACUCCAAUCGGGAUGGUAAUAUACUUUCAGGUAUCUUCCCAGAUAAUUGAUUACCAGAAAGAUCUAAUAUUUUCAAAGUUGUGAAUAUGGAGAAAUUUGGGAAAGAACCACUGAUUUGGCUAGAUGACAGAUCUAAUUCUUGUAGUGAAUUUCUAGCACAAGCAUUAGACAAAUUAUGAAGAAUUGAUGAAAGACUUUGGUUCAAACUGUUUUUACCCAUGUCUAAAGAUUUUAAGGUGCAUAUAUUCAUGAAAGAUUGCAAAACCUCAACCUUGAAUUUGUUAAAGAAGAGGUCAAGCUGCUCAAGUGAACUCAUUGCCAAACCAAAGUGAUUUGGUACAGAACCCUCUAUGAGAUUAUGACUAAGGUGAAGCUCAACAAGGUUGGGAGUGAAGUUUGCCACCCAUUGGAAUAUCAUUGUUGACAUGAGGGUGUUCUCGGAUAGAUCAAGGACCGUGAGAGAAGUAGAAAAAUUCAAUAUAGAUGGCCUCAAUGAAAGGAAAAAAUUAUCAGUAAGGCUACAAUCAAAUAAACUUAGUUCCCUUAAUUUUGGUAGCUUACCAAUCAUUUGCGGCAAACUAUGAGAAUGAUAAAGAUUUGAUAUGGAUGUCAAGUAAAGAUGGGUUAAAGAAAUGAGAUUAGAUAACCACUGACCUCCAUCACCAAUUUUUAGAGCGCCAACACCUCCAAUAUAAAGCUCAUGUAAGUUUGACAGGUUUCCAAGUUGACUUGGUAUAUUCCCUUCCAAAUCAUUGUCGCGGAGAUCAAGAUAUAUUAAGUGAGAGAGAUUUCCCAGUUGACGAAGGAUUGGACCCUCCAAAAAAUUAUAAGCGAGAUUUAAGUAUUUCAAAUGAGAAAGAGACCCAAAUUGGGCUGGAAUUUUUCCGUCAAAACCACAUGAUGAAAGAUCGAGGUAUCUCAAGUUGCUAAGAGAGCCAAGAAAUUCUGGAAUAUUGCUGUCUCGGAAAGAAUUGGAACUGAGGUUCAAAUACUGUAAUUGUCGCAACUCCAUCAACGACUUGUGGAUUUCUCCGCUGAUAAAACGUUCUGACGAAAAUUCAAUGUAAAAAUUGAAAGAAAUUUCGUUAUGAAAUUCUCCGUGCAAAUCGAGCAUUAGAAUAUGUCCAGUGAGGUUGGAGCAGCGAAUCCCCCGCCAUUGGCAACAGUGAGGAGUGGUCCACGAAGAAAGCAUGCCAUAGCGAUCUACAAUGGCAGCCUUGAAUCGGAGAAGUGCUUCCCUCUCUCUUUCUAUGCAUCUUACUUCCUCUUUACCAUAAACAAGCUCCAUCACCAAACACACCGUAAACAUCAUUAGUUUAAGACCAACCGGGUUCCUCAUCAUCACAAAGGAAAUGUAAUGGAUCAAACCCACUCACUAUUGGAAAUAGAUUGAUACUGUCAGUUUAGCUCUGUCUAUAACCAUUUAUAUAACACUUCAUGCAUCCAUAACUCACCAAACAAAUAACCAUACUUUGACUUUUAUAUUUACAAAUAAAUAUUUAAUUUUUGUUCAAAUUUGUUGUAAAAUAUCAGGAAAAAGAAACAAAGAGAGAAUAUUCAACUAUCGUAUUUAAGUUAAACAGUGAUUGUGGAAUUGUAUAAAGUGGCAUGGUCCCUUAUACGACUUUGUAGGAACAAAACAAAAAAAAUACCUUCAAAAUUAUUCCAAUGCAAUAAAUUCUAAAAUAGUAAGCACCUAUUAUUGAUUGUUCUGUAUGUCGAGUUGUUGAUUAUUGUAGAAAAUAAUUUUAAAAUCAUAUUUGAAAUUAUUUUAAAAUAAAUUGAUCAUGGAAAUAUAUUUAUAUUAAUUAAUGAUAUGCAUAAAAUUUAAAUUCAUAUUUGUAUUUCAUGUCGAAUAGUUUUAAAUUUAUUUUCAUCUUAUUUUGUUAGGCAUGUUAAUAGUACAUAAAGUAGAUAAAGUAUUUUUUUUUCAAUGUAUGCACAACUAAAAUUUUAAACACUGAAAAUGUAAAAACUAAAAAAGCAGAAAGUAAUCAAAGUUUUGGGAAAGACUUGGAAAAGUAUCCGUCAACCCUUAUCAGAAAUAACUUACGUCUAAUACUAAAAGCUAUCAGUACAUCGAUAUGAAAAUGAAACUAUAAAAAUCAGUAAAUUUGAAUAAUAGAAUAAAAACUGUAAAAGAAAAAAGAAAAACUAUGUUAGGUAAGGAAAACUAGUAAAUAUGAAUUUAUUGUAUGAUGAUUGAAUAUGACUAAGUACCAAAUUGGUUAAUUAGGUUUUCAAAACUUAAUUUAAGAUAAACUAACAUGUAUUUGAUACAAGAAAAUAGUAAAUUAAUUAUGAAAUACACUAGUGCAGAAUUGACCUUUAGGUCUUGGAUUUAGGGAAGAGUAAUUGAGAGAAUUUGAAGAUAAUUUUUUUUUAUUUGCAUAUAGAUUUGGAGAUAAGUGAAAAUAAAUUUGAAAGUAAAAUUUAUAAGAAUUAUUGUAUAAUUUAAUAUAAAAAAUUAUAAAUUCUACUCACAAAUACCACUAUUUUAUUUUUUAAAGUAUUUUUAGUGUAUAAAUGAUAUAGAAAAAUAUAUUAACUAAUAAAGGUGAAUUACACAGGUAAUAAAAAAGAUAAGAAAAUAAGAUAUUAGAUUUUUUGCAAUGGUUAGGGACAUUUAGUUUCAUAUGAUUUUUAUUAUAUUUAUACUAUUUUAUGUGAACGUUAUUUUAUUUGAAUAGUUUUAUGUAAGUAAAUAAAAAGACUUGGAGAAGACUCGAGCAAUCAUCACGUCAAACAAUAAAUGGGGGAUGGUCCCUUUAUUUAUACCAUUUCUUUGGAACAAAUCAACAAGACUUUGAAAAUUGGGUCAUUGCAUUACAGAAAACGAAAUACAACCACAUAUGGUACAAAUUUCAUAUUCAAUUUAAUAAAUGAAAGAUAAUUAUUCUAUCAAAUUUCAAAUUUCAUUCAAAAAUGAGUUUUUAUUUCCACACGCAGAAAAUUAAUCAUUUCCAAUCCAUUCAAAAGAUAAAUUAAUUUGUUUUAUUCCAACUAAAACUCAAGCUUAAUAAAUUCCAAUUUACCUUAACUCAAAAUAAUUAACUUUAAUUAUCUUAUAAAAGUUAAACAUGAGAAUAUAAUUUUAUUGAAUUUCUACUCUUUUAAAAAAUAUAUGGGAUUCAAUCUAGAGAUGUUAUUCACCAUUUAAUAACUUCUCAAACAAAUUGAAAUUACAAUUUUAAAGAUACCUUCUCUUAAUUCUUGUGUUUUAUAAUUUUGAAAUAGUUAGAUAUGUGUUAACUUCCUUAGGGAGUUUGAUUUACAAAUUCUUGUGUCUUCUUCGAUAGCCCCAACUUUUCAACCUCAAACUCUCCGAUCUUCAGUUUUUUAUGACUUCACAAAUGAUGAUCCUCUUCCAAACACCUCCUUAGAUGCACUAAGGAUGAACUGACUAUUUCCUCUUUCACCGUAACAACAAUUAACCAGCUCCACAGACAAAAGUUUCACAAGCCAAACAAAAACACACACUUCCCAAGAGUUUCUGAGUUCUUAAGCACAAGGGAAGAGUUGUUGUUGAUAGAUAAAGUUAGUCUAUUUAUAGACUUAAAUUCUUCGAAACUGGCCAUUUAACGCUUUUAAUCGAUUAAUAUUAAUGUUAAUCGAUUAAAAUGAGUGCAACGACUAGUUUUCAAAAACCAGAAAACUCCAACGGCUAGUUUUAAUCAAUUAUUCUAAGGAUUAAUCGAUAAACUAAUCGAUCAAAAAAGGUAUUAAUCGAUUAUUUCCUUGCCAGUUAAGUUUUCAGCACCUGUAACAUUUUAAUCGAUUAAUACUUGAUUUAAUCGAUUAAAAUCGUGCAUUUUUUAUUCUGAACAACAAAUAUAAAGUAUAAAGGUACAAGAAUCAAAUCCUAUUACAAAUCUAAGUCUUAAACAUUUAAACUACAAUUAUUACAAAAGCUUUUAAUAACAAAAAUAAGUCUUCAAAGGAUCUUUGUGAAUCUUGAUAUAUCUUGACUUGAUUUGGACAUCAUCAAAACUUCAUCUUCAUCAUUUUGCUAACAUUCUCCCCCUUUUUGAUGAUGAUCAAAAACUCCUUUGAAUUAAAGCUUUUAGUAAUAAUCUGGAUAAAAGCACAAUGUAUGGAAGAAAAUAGCAUUAGAGAAUAAUAACAAGCUUUAAACAUUUUCUCCCCCUUUUUGAUCAUAAUUAAAAAGUUGUGUUUCAUGUUCUCCCCUAAGAUAAUACUCCUCCUUAAUAAAAUCAUGUAUGCAUAUGAGUUAAAUAUAUUUCAAAAUUAAGGAUUCAUUCAAACAUACAUAAUAGGAGAUUUAAAGUAAAUAAUUUUUAGAAUAAAGAACUUUAAAAAAUCAUACAUUGAACCAUACAAGAUAGGAAUUUUAUUGCAAAAAAAAUGGCUAAAAUUUCAAAAUGCACAAAAAUGGAUCAAAAUGUAAUCUUAAGAGAUUUAUAAAAUUUCUAUAUCUCUUCUAACGUUACCCCUUUAGAUAUGUCUACAAAUUCGUAAAGAUAAAUUGUUGAGAUCUUUGUCUUAAGGAUUGUCAUCAUUCUUCUCUUCUUUUGUUAUCUUUUGCAAGUCUUCAUUAUUACCUGCAUCUAAUUCAACUGACUCAAGAGGUUUUACCUCAAGGUCCACAAUUUUAUCAAAGAAAACAUGCUUGGAAUAAAAUUUUCUCAAUUUUUUUUUAAAAAUUAAAUGUUAAAAAAAAUUAAAUUUUUAUAAAUAAUUUAAAAGUUGAACAUGGUCUUUUAGGUUAUAUAAAAAAUAAUGAAAUCAUUUUACAACCCAAACAUAUCUACCACUUGGAACACCAUAAUGCUUAAUUUUACAUUUAUUUGAAGUAGGACCCUUUUUCAUACAAUAAAAGCAUGAUAUAAAGUUUGUGUUGCUAUAAGUGGUUCCUUUUUCUACCCAUGUUCUACAAGUUCUAUUAUUAUGCUUAUUUUUAAUUUUAGGAACAUACUUAUUUUUAACAACCUUAUUUUCAUUAUUUUUACUGCAUUCUCCUAAGGUUGUUUGUUCUAGCAGUUUCUUAAAAUUUUCACAAGAUGCACAUUCAUCAUUACUAGUAAAUUUACCUUUUUCAAAAAAUAAAACUUUAUUUUUCAAAUCUUUAUUUUCUUCAAAAAUAUUUUCAAAAUUUAAUUUUAAAUUUUUAUUUUCUUCAAGAAUAUUUUCAAAUUUUGGUUUUAAAUUUUUAUUUUCUUCAAAAAUAUUUUCAAAAUUUAAUUUUAAAUUUUUAUUUUCUUCAAGAAUAUUUUCAAAUUCUGAUUUUAAAUUUUUAUUUUCUUCAGAAAUAUUUUCAAAAUUUAAUUUUAAAUUUUUUAAAUCUUUUUUCAAUUUCUUAUGAGCUUUAUCUAAUUUUUCAGAUUCUACAAGUAAAACAGCAUAAGUUUCAUGCAAUUCACUUUCACUAUAUUGACUAUAAUUAUCAUAAUCGCUAGAUGUACUUACUUGACUUCCAGCUUCAUCAUGUGCCACUAAAUAGAUGUUUGCUUCUUCAUUAGAUUCGCUCAAAUCAGAAAUUGUUUCAUUGUCAUCGUCUCAUGCGAUGUAGGCUUUCUUUUUCUUGAAGAAUUUAUUUUCCUUUAUUUCUUCAUUCUUCUUUUGAUUUGGGCAGUCAGCUUUUAAGUGCCCCCUUUCUCCGCAACCAUAACAUUUAUAGUGUGAGGAAGAUCCUUGAUUUUCUUUCUUUUCGAAUUUUAAUCUUCCUUUGUCUUUUGAUUUCAUGAACCUGUUGAGCCUUUUUAUCAUGAGUCUCAAAUUUUCUUCAUCUUCUGAGUCUUCAUUUUCAAUUUUGUUCUUGCUCCUUUCUACCUCAGAUUUUAAGGCUAGACUUUUUUUCUUGGUUUUGGCUUUUGCUUCUUCUUCAUCAAGUCUUCCAAGAUCAAGCUCAUGCUCCCUCAACUUUCCGAAUAGUGCCGCCAUAGUCAUUAUGUUGAGGUUUUGUGACUCAGAAAUUGUAGUCACUUUUGGUUGCCACAACCUGUCUAAAGAUUUCAAAAUUUUAAUGUUAAGCUCAUCAUUGUCAAAUGACUUACCUAGUCUAGUGAGGUGAUUAACAAUGUUGGUGAAGCAUUUCUGAACGCCUGAUAUUGUUUCUCCUUACUUCAUCCUGAACAUUUCAUAUUCUUGGAUCAAGGUAUUCUUUCUCACUCUCUUCACAUCAUCUGUACCUUUGCGGGUUACUCUCAGCACUUCCCACAUUUCUUGAGCAGUCUUACAAUUUGAUAUCCUGUAAAACUCAUCAACGGUUAAGGCAGAUGAAAUAAUAUUACGAGCUUUUACAUCGUUUUGAAACCUUUUCUUUUCUUCAGCAGUCCACUGAACACGAGGCUUUGGUUCCUGCAAAUUGUUAGUAGGAAUAGACGAACCAGAUGCAAUAACAUCCCAAAUCUCACAAUCAAUAGACUCAAUAAAAAUUUGCAUUCUAACCUUCUAGAAUGCAUAGUUUUCACCUGUGAAUAAAGGUGGUCUAUUGAUCGAGGCACCCUCUACAAAGGUUUGAUAUGAUCCUGCCAUUUGAAUAACUAUCAAAUCAAGCUCUGAUGCCAAUUGUCAGAGCGCCUACAGCAGAAUGGUUAGCGUGGAAUAACAAACCAAGAGGGUUUUUAAUAUAAACGUGUGCCUUUUAAUUUCUUCUCAAUUUUCUUACUCAGCAAAUAAUAAUUAUAAAUAACGAGAGUAAGGUUGAGAGAAAUUUGCACAGAUGAUUUUUAUACUGGUUCGGAUCUUACCAAUCCUACGUCUAGUCGCUUAUCUCAAACCAAGAUAAACAGUUCACUAAGCACAAAACAAUUACCAAUUACAAUCACAAAGAAACAAUUUGUAAGAGUUUAGAAACCACCUCUCUUGAUACCACAAGAUAUGAACCUGCACCUCCUUUGAAUCUUCACAAAGGAUGAGACACCUCCUCCGAAUACUUCACAAAGGAUGAAACACCUCCUCCGAAUACAUCACAAAGGAUGAUCCUCUUCCAAACACCUCCUCAGACUCACCAAGGAUGAACCGACUAUUUCCUCUGUCACCGUAGCAACACUUCACCAGCUCCACAGACAAAAGUUUCAUAAGCCGAAUAAGAACACACUUCUCAAUAGUUUCUGAGUUCUUAAGCACAGGGGAAGAGUUGUUGUUGACGAAUAAAGAUAGUCUAUUUAUAGACUCAACCAAAAACUCUUCCAUUCUUCGAAACUGGCCAGUUAACGCUUUUAAUCGAUUAAUAUUAAUUUUAAUCGAUUAAAAUGAGUGCAACGGCUAGUUUUCACAAACCACAAAACUCCAACGGCUAGUUUUAAUCGAUUAUUCUAAGGAUUAAUCGAUUAACUAAUCGAUUAAAAAAGGUAUUAAUUGAUUAUUCCCUUGCCAGUUGAGUUUUCAGCACCUGUAAUGUUUUAAUCGAUUAAUACUUGAUUUAAUCGAUUAAAAUCGUGCGCUUUUUAUUAUGAACAACAAAUAUAAAGUAUAAAGGUAAAAGAAUCAAAUCCUACUACAAAUCUAAGUCUUAAACAUUUAAACUACAAUUAUUACAAAAGCUUUUAAUAACAAAAAUAAGUCUUCAAAGGAUCUUCGUGAAUCUUAAUAUAACUUGACUUGAUUUGGACAUCAUCAAAACUUCAUCUUCAUCAUUUUGCUAACAUAGGUCUGUAAUUGAAGCUUCAUUUUCUAAUUCUUGAGCUAAUUUAAGCAUCGGUUCACUUGAUCCUUUUUCCCUUGAAUUAUACUCCCAUGACUUCAUCUCUGGAAAGCUUCUAGUUCUACUAUUCCUAUAAAAUGUAGGUUUUGUAGGAAUAAGGAGACUCAGAGAAUGGCUAUUAAGCAUCACUACAAUGGUAGCCACGGUUGGUCUGUCAACUAAAAUUUCUUGAACACAGAGUAAACCAAUAUGAAUGCAUCUCAGCAUUUCAUGCCGUGAAUUGUUGUUGAGUGAUGGAUCUACAAUAUUUAUAGCCUUCCCUUCCUUCCAGCUUCUCUAAGCCUGCAAAAUUUGUUAUCAGAUCAUGGAUUCACUUCUACAUUAACGUUUUGGACCAUCUAAUCUUCUAAUCCAUAAUUUAGGUGGACAAGAAAAAGCAAGUGAUCAAAAAAGACUUACGAAGCUUAGCAGAUCCUCCAUGCUCUCCCCAUUAUUGAUCCCACUGUUUUUUUGGCCGCUUACAAUCUCAAGAAUAAAAUAUCUGAUUUUUUUCCUCACAUGAACCCUAAUAAUACGAAUUUUCAAUUUUUCCCUAAUCUGAUUUGUAUUUCAAGGGUUGCAUUUAAAUUUUGUAAUUUUUCCCACUUUGCCCUUUCCGAAAACCUAAUUUCACCUCCAUGCAUUCACAAUUUUUAAUACAAAAUUCAUUUUUAAUGUCACUUAUGAUUAAUGUAUGCACUGGCCAUGCCACGUAAGCUAAAGUUAAACAAUAGUUAAACGACUAUUUGUCCAAUUUGACGGCAAAACUUUAAUUGCAUCAAUUUUACAAUAACAAACAUCCAUUUGAGACACCAAAAAGAAAAGGAACCUAUUUGAAAUUGCAGACCAAAAUAGAGACCUACCAAAAUAUUAAACCUAAAUAUAAAAUAUAUGUAAAAUUAGAUUUAAAUAAAUAAUAAAAAUUUUAUGCUUUCAUAAUUUUUAAACCGACCACUUGAAUGUUGUGUUAGAUUUAUUACAUAUGACAGGGUCAAAAUGAUUAAUUUUUUGAUUUAUUACAAAUUAGUAUAAUUAAUGUAACUUUUAAAAUUCAAGUUACAUUAAUUAAACUACUUGACUUGGACAACCCUUUAUAGUGUGCAUAGAUUGGAGGUACAGCUUUCACAAUACCAAUUCCCGUCCUAUAUCAUUUUUAAGCAUGUUUCAAUGCCUCUUAAUAGUGUCAAUCAUUAUAGAUCAUAUGAAAAAAAUGUUAUAUUAGAUUUGUGCUGGUUAAAGAAUUUUUUCCUCAGCCCAGUUGCACUAAUUAUUAUAGUCAACUAUGACAGUUGGAAGAGAUCAAUUCCAAACCAAUCUUUUGCAAAUUUGUCCCACACGCUGUUGACUUGACUUUAUAGCUUAGACGACUUAAUUUAAAAAACAAUCUGAAAGAGUGAUAUAUAAUUUCAAAAUCUCUACAGUGGACCAAGUUGUGCAGAAGUUAAAGUGAAUUGCUGAAGAUUAUUCCUUAACAACUUCACCAUCUGCAGGUUCCUUUCACUUUCUCUAUUAUUUUCCUAUUGCAUACUGCAUUUAAUAUUUAACAAUCCUUUGAAAUGACAUUAGUUUCAUGUUUUUAUUAGGAGUUUAACAUUAUAUUAUCUGCUCUGCUCUAACCAUAACAUAUGUUAUCAUUUUACAUGUUAAUUUUGUUACAAUGAAUUAGGUCAAAGUACAAAUUACAGAAGAAUGACAAGUGCUCAUACAAUUUAGUUUGAAAUUUGUGCUAAACCUUUUUAUUGGAAUAAAUGAUAGUUGAUCCAACUUUAACUUCAUGUUGUUGAUCUGUAACUCUCACCAUGUUAAGUUAGGGGAAUAGUAAGGAAAUGGAGGGACAAUCAAAUAGUAAUUCACAAAAUCAAGCCAAGUAUUUAGAGACAGAAUUGACCAAGAAGCUUCAACAAGUGGUUGUAGAACUGUCUGAUAUUAAUGAGCAAUGCAUUUACAAAAUACCAGAAAAAUUUCGCCAAGGUAAUCCCAAAGCCUAUACUCCUCAAGUUGUUUCCAUUGGCCCGUUUCACAGACAGUGUGAGUCUAAUGGAGAGAACAACAAUUGGAAGAAAAUGGAAGAACUCAAACUGGAAUAUCUCCAGAGAUUUCUAGAUCGAAACAAGCAGAUAACUAUGAAGGAUUUGUUUCAAGAACUGAUUGAAAAGGAAAAGCGAAUUCGACGCUGUUAUGCAGAACCUGUUAAUUGCAACAGCAAUGAUUUCUUAACUAUGAUUCUAGUUGAUGCUUGUUUUAUAGUUGAGCAUUUUCUUAGAUUCUAUACAGGCUUGGCUUCGAUUGAAAGAGACCCUUUGUCAAAAUCAUGGUUGGUAAAUGAUGUUAUUCACGACCUGACACUACUUGAAAACCAGCUUCCUUUCUUUGUUCUUGAAGACAUAUUCAACACUGCUAAGCCUGGCAUGGAAGUUGAGUUUCCCUUUAAGAAUGUUAAAUACAUGGAUGAAUUCACUGGCCCUGUAACAGAUUUUGAUUCUCUCUCAUUUCUUGGCAUUACCUUUCAAUAUUUUCGGAAAUACAACUAUAUGAACAUAAAUGAAAACGCAAUUGAGAGUCCAAAACACUUCACUGAUCUUCUAAGAACUUUCAUGCAACCAUCAAAAAUUUGUCAUGAAAAUCUGAAAGUGGGAUAUAUGGUUAAACAUCUACCAAGCGCAAGCCAACUAUCAGAGGUGGGUUUGAUAUUCAAGGCUAGUUCUAACAAAUGCCUGUUUGACUUCAAAUAUCAUCGUCUUAGGGGUGUAAUGGAAAUGCCGUGCUUAACUAUUCAAGACAGAACAGAGAUGACGUUGAGGAAUAUAUUGGCAUUAGAACAAUGUCAUUACGUUCUUUCACCCAACAUUACUCAGUACUUAUUCUUUCUGUAUUUUCUUAUCAAGACUGAGAAAGAUGUGAACAUACUAAUUAAUAAGAAAAUUAUAGUGAAUUGGAUGGGUGAUGCAGAUGCUGUGGCUAAAAUGUUUAACAAUCUUUGCUCAAAUGUUAUUGUGUCAUAUAUUAGUGAAGAGUAUUGCUUGCUCUAUGAUGACUUGAUUAAAUUCCAUGAAAAUCCUCACAACAAAUACAAGGCUAUCUUUUAUCAUGAGUACUUCAACACUCCAUGGAAAAAGGCAUCUACAACUGCAGCAGUUCUACUGCUUUUGCUUACUCUAAUUCAAGCUAUUUGUUCAGUCAUCUCAGUAUUUUGAGGGUAAGAAACUAUGAUACACUAAAUCCUAAGUAUACUGUUGUGAUAUUUCUUACGAAGACUCUUUUAUUAGCAAAUUGUAUCUUUCUUACAACAAGGAUUAAAAUAACAUGUGUCAAUUUUAUGUCUCCUUUCUUCUCUUUCCAAUGAUUGUCAUGGUAAUUAUUAUGACACAUAAGCAUAGAAUAGAAUUAACAUGCUCAGAAUUAGAAAUAAACUCACUUGUAUAUAUAUACUUUGUGUUUGCUUUGGCCCUUUAGUAAUUCUUUUUCACUUCAAUUAAUGUAACACAGUACAAAAAGGAAUUAACACUAUUAGUAGCACAUUUUUAUCUUCCACCAAACUCGUUAAUCAAAGGAUGACCAUCCUCCAUCAUGCAGUUUACAACUUUCCCUACCUCCUAUCAAAGCAAACCAACCUCGUAUUAGGUUUGUACAUGGUUUUCUCUUUUACCUUUACUUGUGGAGAAUUUAAAGGUAGCAGCUUGAAGAUCUUGAAAACUGAAUACAUUUAACAUGAAGGAAACAGAGUAUGAGGUAUUAGGAAAAUUCGUGGUAAAGUUUUAGUGAAGGAUUAAAAGUAUUAAAAAUAGAUGGAAACAUAAAGCGUGAGACUAUAUCUAGAAACAUAAAGUGGCAAAGAUGGAAAUCUAGCCUAGUUCUGCAUCUUCAUCUGCUAUGAGAACAUCAAAUCCUUAUUUCCAGGUCAGUAAUGGACGAGUUGUUUUGGCAUGAUUCACUAGGUUACCAUCGGAAUCAUAGAUAAUAACACCAGAGAAAUCAGGGAGUUGACAUUUCCCUCCCAUGAGUAUGUUCCUCUGCCAAAGUGAACCCUCUUCUUGUUGCUCACCGCAAGUGCCCAUCACCUUUUCAUUGUUGAAUUCUAUGACAGGUUCUUCUUCAAAGGCAUAGCAAGAGACCCACUUGCGCCAUUUGCGUGAAUGAGAAGCACACAUGAGCAAUGCAAUGGCACACACCAUAAGGGUCAUGACAGUGAAGCCAAUGUGUGAAAUACUUGGUAGAGGGUGGAUCAUUACAAGUGGCCGAGCCAUGACAAAGUCAAAUAUGAAAGUGUGAUGAUAUGUUUGAAAUAUGAAGUUGGUAUGAAAAAGAUGAGUAAAUACAUCCAUAUAUAAGGUCCUGUGCUUUGAUUUUUAAUUCUGAAGUAGAAAAUGUAGUUGGUUCUUUUGGGGUUUGUUAGCAUUUGGUUUUUGAGGUUUUGUUAUUUACUGAACUCGGGGAAGAGGUUUAGGUUUUUAAGUGUAGCAGUUGCGAUUUGUGUCAAGAAUAUGCAUAAAAUGUUUUCAAUCAAAAUGAAACUUUGGGGAGAAAAUAAAGAAACACGGAUAAUAACAGAAAAUUAAGGUCAACAAAGUAUUAUGAUUUUAUUUAAGUUUUAUCUAUCGUUUACUCUUGAGAAGCAAUUUUUGUAAGGACAAUGAUAUUUAGACAACAUUUUUUUGACAACAUUUAAACAUUGAUUACGUGUCAAUAUGUGAUUGGUAAAAAAUUAUUGCACAAUAAUGUUUAUGAUUAUUAUUAUUGAUUGUGGAGUAAUUUUUGACCAAUUACACAUUGACACAUGAUCAAUGUUCAAAUGUUGUCAAAAAAAUAUUGUCUAAAUAUCAUUAUCCUUUUUGUAAUUUUCCACUGAUGAUAAAGUUAACUCCUUUAUUUUCUUGAGAAAUUAUCUUGUUAAAUAAGAUUCUAUUAAAUUUUAACUUUAAAACCUUUCAGCCAUAAUUAUUACGUGAAAUUGUUAAUUUAUUUCAUAAAUGAUACAUGUUUUGAUUUUCUAUUUCUAUGACAACAAGAUUUUUUUAUCAUCCUCAAACAUGUCUUUCUUAUAAUAAUAAUAAUAAUAAUAAUAAUAAUAAUAAUAAUAAUAAUAAAUUAUUGUUAUUUUUAAUCUUCUUUUUAAUACAUCACAAUUGUUAUUAUUACUUAAGUUUCUUUUCAUUUUUUAUUUAUUUUAAAAAAUGAAGACAUGGAUGGAUUGUUUUUUUUUCCUAAUUAGUUAUUAUUAAUCGAAUAUGGAAAUUUUCACUGAGCUAAAUGUACUAAUAAUACCAUAAAAGUGUCUAGAAAUAUUCUAACAUAGGGUCUAAGAGAUGAAGAGCUUAAAAUUUUAUUUAAAAUUUAAAAGUAUUAAGGAACGAAAGCGUGACUCAAAUGGCGUAAAAAGGAGAGGAAAUAAAAUAUAUAUAUAUAUAUAAAAAAAAAAAAUCCUCCUGCUAAUUCCUUGAGAUUGAAAUUAAAGAAAUUUUAUAUUAAAAAUUAGGAUAAUGAUGCUUUGACAAUAUUUUUUUUACAACAUUUUAAUAUCAUGUGUGUUAUUCUGUGAUUGGUCCAAAAUUACUCCAUAAUCAAUAAUAAUAAUCAUAAACAUCAAUAUAAACCAAUCAUAAAAGGACACAUAGAUGGUGUUAAAAUGUUGUCAGAGUAUCAUUAUUCUAAAAAACUAUAUGUAACUGUAAGUUCCAGUGAUACUUUAUAUUAAAUUUUGGAAUUUAAAAUAUAUGUCGAGUUCGGUAUGAGAGGUGGACAAUUUUUUUCUAUUGUUACGGGUUAGUUAGAGUUUAAUCAAUCCUUUGUUAACAAUAUUUUGUUUCUUUUAUUAAUUUUGGAAAAGUUGUGGAGGGUUUGUAAUAUUUGAUUCCGAAAAUAUUUAUAUCAUUUUAAUUUUGGAAAAGGUAAGAUUCUCUCUUCACUCUCCAAUGUUUUGAGUUUCUCUAUUCUUUCUUCACUUUCUCUCUAACUUCUCUUUUUUUUUUUUCCUGAUGAAGCAAAAAAGGUCAUCUUCGACGAAACAAUCCAGCGAGACUCGAAUGAAGCAAUGGAAAAUAUGGGAGGAAGGUAUUUCUGCUAUUCUUUUUCUCCUUUCGCAUUUUCUCUUUCCCCUUUCCUUUUCCCCUUUCCUCUUUUCCAUUUCCCAUUUUUCAUUUAGUCUUUCCUUUUUUCCCUUUGUCAUUUUGUGUUUCUUGUUUUGUUAAUUAUUUUUUAGAUUAUUAUUCUAAACCUUCCUAACAUCAAUCUAAAGUGUUUAUGAUCUAAUUCCUAUUCUAAAACAUCAAAUUCCUCAACUUAUGGACCUAGAUUUCAAUCUACUACUAUGAACCUAUUUUAUACCAUUCUAACACCUCAACGCAGUCACAUUGGACUUACCAAAACCUCCGUUGCAAACCAAAAGCACACCAAGUCUCAAUUGCUAAAAAUCACUAUCCCACUUCCUCUAAAUGUACUCAAAACAUGUAUAAUCCAAUUCAUCCUCUAUCUAAUUACUCCUUUCAUAGAUUUCACACAUCAAAUAUGAUCAAUUACAACUGUACACCCCAUCCAAAUCAAUUUCACAAUCACUAUUUCACACAUUCACAAUUUAACAUCUCAUUACAUACAUUUUAGUUUACUCAAAACCUGAACAUAACUCUAACAGCACCACACACAGAAUUCAUCAUACACACACAAAAUUCAUCAUACACACAAGUCAUAUUACUGAUUUAAAACAGAAACUCAGCUUCCCUUACCUCAGCUCAAGUUCAACACCGAUUACAGAACCCCGAUUGAAGCUUGCACCACAAGGAAACUCAACAGAAACCUACAACUCACUGAUUGAUGAUAGGAAAACAACCUUAGAACUUAAUUUGAGCUAGAAAUUUAAGAAGACAGCAACCAAACACAUUCGACCAGAAACUCUUUACAUGAUUAUGGUUAAAGACGUACGAGAAAAGAGAAGAAACAACUUACCGACUUAGAACAAGAAAUUGAUCGGUCUAGAUUGUUGCCCUUGACGUCAGGAUCGUCUAGGCACCUCCUAAUCGUCAAACCAAACACCCCAAAUGAUAGAAGAUCUAGAGAGAAGGCAGAGAAACCCUAGGUGAAUAGUGUUCUAGAGGGAUAGAAUUGUUUUAGAUAAUGAGUCAAGCUUUAAAAAGUUCUAUUUACAUUAAAAGAUUAUUUUAAAAUAACUUGCUCGUCUCAUUGUUUUAAUACACCUAUCUACUCUAAUAUUUUAUUUUCUAGAUUUUUACAAUUUAUCUCUCCAAUCCAAUGAUAUAAUAGAUUACCAAAAAAAACAUCAACAUGAAGGCAUAAACUAUACAAGGAAAUGAACAUAAGAAAUCAACAGAAAAUAAUUUACAUACGGAAAAAGCUAUAGAUUUCAUUCUUAGCUAUAAGCUUUCACAUAAAUCGAUCCCCAUGUCAACAUCCACUAAAAUGAGUUUAGUGGCUCCUAAAAGAUAUCAUAAUUGGUAUUGGAAAAGUAGCUAUAUAUAAGAGUGAAAAUUAAUUUGAUUCUGAUUUAAAAUAAAUAUAAAUUUGCCCAUUUCCUAACGUACACAUAUCAAAGCGGCUUAAGGCUAAUCGUCAUUAUCCACCUCCACAUUUCAAACCUACACCUCCCCAUUUUUUUUAACUUUUCAUUAAUUACAAAACUAACCUUUUUUUAUUUUUUAUUUUUACUUUUUUAACCCUUUUAAUUAAGUAACCCUAAUUUUUACUUUACUUUCUAUUUCAGCUUUCACUUUCACAUACUUUCGAAACUUUCGAAAACAGUCCCACCUCCCCUUCCCUUCGCAUUCACACCCCCAAGCUCCACCUUUUCUCAACUUUUCCAGUCAUCUCUUCCUAUGCUUUGUUAGCUUUUGGUGUGUGCGACGGUCCGGCGGUUGUGUGCGGCAGUCCGAUGAUUGUGUGCGGCGGUGCGGCACGUUGGUCGUGGCUCUGUAGUUGCGUUUUUGCCUGCGGGUGUGUGCGGCGUGGUGUGUGCGGCAGUGCGACUUGAGUGUGUGACGGCGCGGCGCGGUGGUGUGGGGCUUCGUUUCGUUGCGCAUGAUUGUGUUGAUUUCUUGGUUUGUAAAUGUAUGUGAUUUAGGAUUUAAGAUUGUAUUGAUUUUGCUCUGUUUGUGCGCGAUUGUUGUUUGCUUCGUUUCGUUUUGUGCUAUGAUGUUUCUGGUAGAAGUUUGUGUGUGCGUAGGAGGAAGAAGAUAGACCUUAACAUCCAUUUCAGGGCUAAACAGAAGUCGACAUCGUUUAGGGCCUGAUUUUUUAUUUUUAAGUUUUUAGUUUAUUUUAUAAGUAAUUAAUUUUUAACUUUUUAUUUUCAAAUAAUUUUGUUACUUAAUUAUUUUGUUUUAAUUUUUUUAUUUUAUUAGUUUAUUGUAUUUUUAAUUAAUUUAUAGAGUAUUUAAAAAGUUAGGUUUUUAGAAUUAAAAUUAAUCUAUAUAAUAGCAAUAUAAAUAAAAAAUAUAAAUAUAAAUUAAAAAAGAAGAGAUAAAAGUGGGAUGAGGAGGUGGAGGUCCAAAAAUGUGGAGGUGCAGGAAUCAACACCCAUAAAAAUAUCUCCGAUGCAACUACGCUGACAAACGUAACAGAGUAGCUUUCAUGAAAAGGAUGAAAGGCACACGAAGCUUCUAGAGCGCGCUGUUCUACCGCCUUUGAGACACGUCGGUUGCAAAAGAGGAAGAAGACAAUCUUGAUGAGAGUAAUGAGACAUGUAAGAAAAAUCCUAUCUUUUCUUAUUUCUGUAAGCUGAAACUUUUAUUAUUGUUAUCUGUUACAAAAUGAAAUGGGGGAAGCUCUAUUUAUAGAGUUACUUGUGAAAUAAGGGAAAAACUAAAACUAACAAGGAAAGCCGAACGAAAGGAAAACAUAUUACUAAAGUCUUAAUAGGUAAAAGCGUUGGGAUUGAGUUAGAGUGAAUAAAAAUUACAGAGUAGCUUAAUGAGAGCAAAAAGAAACUGUGGAAUAAUAAAAAAAAAAUACUGAGUGUAUUUAUUUAUUUUUGUUUAUUAGGUUUUAAAACCUUAAUUGUAAAAAGUAUAAUAUUUAAAGAGUCAAAGAAUGAAUGUAAAGAGAAAAAAAAAAACUAGCAAUAGAAGAUUAAAAAUAGUAAACCAGAAUAACUUGGAGAUGUCAUUGUUUGUUAUUAGAAACUAAAAAAACUAAAAAGUGUUUAAAAAAACAUUUUUUAAACACUUUUAAGAACUAUUAACGACUUUUUUUUUUGUUUAUUUGGUUUUUAAAGGGAAAACAAUUUUGAAAAACAGAAAUUGCAAUUAUAAUUUGAGGUCUUAAAGUGAGUAAAGAAAGUACUAUUUUAGUUUACAUACGAUGACCAUAUAAAUAAAAUUUAUAGCGACAGUUACCAACUGAAACUAUCAUUAUUUAUUAAUUCUAUUUUACUUACAAUACCUCGAAACCUCUUGCGACCUUUUAUCCAUGGAUCUGACUAAUGCUAUUAUUGUAUAUUCGGGAUAAAGAAAAUCAAACACUGAUUUUUAUAUUGCUUCGGACAAUAAUGUCUACAUCCAGUGUCCUUCCAACUUUGGAAGCAAAUGCACUAUAAUGGUUGCGGUUUUUACAACAAUGAAUUUAUAAAAGCACCACGUAAAAAUAUAAAUUUCCUCUCUAACCCAAAACCAAAUAUAGCUGCACACAUAAAACCAGAAUUGCAGCAAGAAUCCCCUCUUCUACAAUCUGCACCCACGUUGAACAAUCCUUAAUGUGUCACCAACACUCUUCACAGGAUGCCAAGCCUAUCACAGCACGUUUCACAUGUUGCCAAGCCUAUUAGCACACUUCACAGGUUGUCAAGCCUUCAGUCAAAUACAGUAGUCUUCACAGGAUGUCAAGCCUUCAAGAUCAAACCAGAAGCACCUUCUUUGUGCAGAUGUUGAUCAAACAGUAAGCGCAAUUGACUCCUCAAUCUGAAUCUCUCUCAAGGAAGAUCAUCACCGUCUUCUUGGAGAAUUCUUGGAGCUUCCUAAACUGAGAGCUUUCUAUGAAACAAGACAAUGAAAAUGUUAGAUUACAAAAGCCUCAGAACAAUUCGUGUUCUGUUCUAUUUAUAGUUUUCCUGUCAGCCUCAGUCGAAUAGCCUACUAGUACAGUCGGCUGUAUUAAACAGUUAUAACAGACAGUCAACACACAGACUCCUCAGUCAACAAAAUGUACAUUUAUGACAGUUGACUCAGUUAGUUAAUCCUAACUAACUUUUGAAAAUAUAGUCGUUGGAGCAAGUAGGCAAAACAAAAUUCCAAAAUAAACAGCAACACAAUCGAAUAAGUAUUUCACACUGUCGACUGACUCAUGAAAAAUCACUUUGAAAUUCUUUUCAACUCAAAAUCUCAUCAAGUACAUGUUCACAAAAUCUGUACAAAGAUUUUAGCUUAGUCAAAUCCAUUACCAGUAUAGUCGCCUGAACUAGACCUUUGUCACAACAAAUAUCAGUUCAUAAAAGUACUUGUGAGCUUUUCUUCAGAAAUGUGCAGAAGUAAUCAAAAUCAUUUUAACACAUACAAGCAUGUUCCAAACAAGUAUGUUCCAAACAUAUAACACAUAAUCAAUCAUAGGAACAUACAUGCAAAUUAACAAAACAUGUUCAAUAAAAGCAUUGUUCAAAUCAGUAUAGCAUAUCAAUUGAACAUGUAACACUAGAACAUAUGUACUGUUAUUAAACAAUGUGUUGUCAUCAUCAAAAACCAAUUUAAUAUAGAGUUUGUGUUGUCAACAAUCUCAACAACCUUCACUAAGAAAGGUAAUAAGAAACUAUUGCUUUUAUGAAUAUACUUCCAUAACACUGUAAAGAGGGAAUAACGGACUCAAACUCAUGCUUUAGUCUGAAUUAGACAGGAUAUUUUCUUAUAAAUGUUUUACAAGAUAUGAAAAUUCCCGUUAUAACUAACUAAUCAACUAAUUGUAACCCUUACCAUACAUCUUAUUUCAUAGAAGUGCCAAGUUAAAUUUCAACUAUUUUAAGCUAAAUAAGAAAUUAAUUUGUUGUUCCUCUUAAUUUCACCACCAUCAUCUAAGCUUAUUGUUAUGGUGGAAAGCGUUAUCAAAGCUAAAUUACAAUAAUUUCUACUGCUAGAUUAUUUUUAUGUUUGAAUAAUGAUUCUUACUCGUUUUGAUGCAUUUCAAGGACUGGAAUGUUAUCAGGUGUUAACUUUUCACUUCCCAUCGACACAUUUUAUAAAACCCAAACUUUGAAUAUUACUUUUAAACGGGGACACCACAACCAAAAUAACAAUACAUAAUGAGAAACCACAACGAAAAUAACACCUAACUCCAUGAGAGAGGGGACCACUAGUAUGAACUCAUUCCAUAAACAGACAAGCAAUACACCAAAGUGUUAAAACUAAUUAUUUUAAUAAUUAAAACUUUAGUAACUAAUGUUAAAAACUUAUUUACAAAACAAUUAUAUUCUUUUUUAUUCAUAAUAAAAACUAUUUUAGUUACUAAUUAUUUUAGUUUAUAAAUUAGGAUCUAAAUAGAUUACAUGAUUAAUAUUUUUUGUCACUAACAUUAUUUAUAUUUAGAGACCUUUUUUAGUAACAUAUUAUAAAAAUAAUAAUUUUCUAAGUCGUCCAAACAAAUAAUUCAAUAUUUAAUAUACAUUAUUAAAUAUUAAAUAUUUGUGUUAAAACAGAAGCUAAAAAAAUACAAAAAGUAAGCAUACAUUUAUUUUAAAGUUUGACUAAAAAAAUUUUAACCAAUUAAAUUUUUUGUUCCUAAAGUAUAAAUUAUAGUUUUAAACAUGUUCGUAACUUUUGGAUUUUAUAGGUGAUAAUAGGAAUGACUAUAUAAUUUAUGCUAUAAUUGCCCAAUAAUAAAUUUUUAUAAAAUUUUUAUAAUUUACAUUCUAUAAUUUAAAACUAUUUGAAGGAUUAAAAUUAUUUAAUCCUUAUGAUAUUAAAUAAUUUGAAAUAUUUUUUUUAUUUAGUUUUUAUGUUUUGAACAAUUUCAAAAAAUUUCACAUUAGAUAGUUUUUAAAAGACUCAUUUUAAGUAUGUCUCAUUAGAGGCUCAAAUCUUAACCAUAUUGAAAAUUUAUAAUCAACUACCUAUGUCUAUGCUAGGUAGUUCAUGAACCUACUUUCAACCUCAUGCACAAACCUCUUUCAACUUCUUACUUAGGUGACUUAAUGUUCUUUAUCAAACCAUUAGUAAAAGAUAUUAUAACUUCAUUUCUUAAUAAAGGUUUUUAUUAAUUCUAUGAAUAUUAUCUCAAGUAUCCUCAUUAUACAUCCAUAAAAGUAAACACACUUAUGAGAGACAACACACCCAUAAAAAGUCAUGUCCAUGAUAACAUAUCAUACAAGUAUCACAAAAUAUAUAUAACCACACAUGCACACAUCACACCUAUGAUUCAUCUCAUCAUUAUCAUCAAUAUAUGUAUCAAUAUGCAUAUCACACAAUAAUCAUAUACACUAAUAGUUAAUAAUAUAUUAAUAUCACCAUCUUCAUCAUCGUAAGUGUCACUUAAUUAAAUGAGAGUCAAAUCCUUAAAGAAAACAAUAUACUGAUGAUAAAAAUUUCUUUACUGAAUAUUAAUUUCAUAUAUAGUUUGCAAUUAUUCCGACACAUACACAAAGAUGUACGUAAACAUUCAACAUGCUUACAACAAUAGCACUCUUGAUAUCACCCUUAAUAGGGAAUGAAUUACUUACCCAAAUUCUCAUAUAUUCAGUAUGAUUUUUGCCACCUCGUCAUCUGAGAACAUAACAAAGUUAUGAUUAUUUUUUAACUUCAGGAAGAUUAAAAAACUAAAAUUUUAGAAAAUAAAAUUACAAUACAACAAAAUAUAAAUACCUAUAUUAUAUUUAUAAAUUUUCUACUUUUUUCCACAUAAAAUUCACCUUUAUUCAAGCAUAGUUCUUACAAUAUAUUAUAAUAUGAAGAACCAUAUAUUCGUAUUAUCUCAUUAAAAUUAGAGAGUAACCUAACGGGAGCAAAAGGAAAUUGUGAAAUAAAAAAAAAAAUACUUUUGUAUAUUACUUUUUGAGAACUUAAUUAUAAAAAAUCUAGUAUUUAGAGAGUAAAAGAAUGGAAUGUAAAGGAAAAAACUAUCAAUAGAAAUUAAAAAUAGUAAACCAAAAUAACUUAGAGAUGUCAUUUUUUUUAAACUGACAUAUCAUUUUAAACACUUUUAAAAACUAUUUAUAACAAUAUUUAUGUUUAUUUGGUUUUUAAAAAAAGGAAAAUAAUUUAAAAAAAACGGGGAAUUUUAGUUUAUUUCAGGUCUUAAAGGGAGUGAAGAAAGUACUAUUUUAGUUUACAUACUAUGACCAUAUAAAUAAAAUUUAUAGCGACAGUCACUAUUAUAACUGAAACUAUCAUUAUUUGUUAAUUAUAUUUGAAUCAAUGAAAAAUACAACAUGAGUUAUAAAUUAGGAUGUCUGAAAAUAUGAUGUUACAAUACCUCGAAAUCUCUUGCUGCCUUCAGUACUUCACAGAACAUCGUUUGCUUUUGAAUAACAACAUUUGUCUGAGGUUUUUCUUUCAAGAAGUAGAUCUUCUGAAUAACAUUAAGCCCACUAUCAUCCAAAAGCUUAUAACAAAUCCAAAUGGCAUGGCGAUAUAAAAUUCACGAUUGAAAAAGGAAUACUCAUCUUCCUGAAUUUCAUUUUUUGGCUCUUCUACUGGUAUUUUGCUAAUACACAAUUUAUCAAGCGGUGAUCCACAUAGAUUCAGAUUAUCUUCAUAGCUCGAAGCAUUAAAACUUUGCAACUGUGUGCUUUGAGGAAUCAUACCAACUAGAUGGUUAUGUGAUAAAUCUAACACACUCAAUCGAUCAAUUUCAAUCAGACUGUUAGGAAUUGAACCAACUAGUUCAUUUCUUGAAAUAUCCAAAAAUUCAAGUAAUGACAGUUUUCCAAUAUUGGAAGGAAUUUCUCCACUCAAAUUGUUUCUUGACAAAUUCAACGAAACCAAUCCAAUUAAGAUUUCAAAUUCUUUUGGAAUUUCUUCUGAGAAGUAAUUGCUUGAGAGAUCAAUGCUUUUUAAAAGUAGUAAUACACUAUUCUUAAACAUUUGAUGUGAACCUUUCCACGUCAAGAAUGUAUUCAAAUCAUAACUUUGAAGACCAAAGAAAUGUGAGGUCUGAACUAUAUACUUAUGCCAAGGACCUCCUUCCGGAUAUGUCUUUUGAGUCAUUGAAGUAAAUUUUUUUAUGCACUUAGGAAUUUGACCAGACAAUUUGUUUAGUGAGAGAUCUAAGAGUUGAAUAUUUCUUAGAAAACAAAUUUGCAAUGGUAAGUUUCCUCGGAACUGAUUCCUUCUUAAACUUAAAUAUUCCAAGUUUCCUAAUUUUUUCCCAAUCCAACCAGGGAUAGAUCCUGAUAAAUUGUUUUCUGCAAUAUCUAUCAUCACUAGUUUUGUACAAUGCCUUAAGGAGAAAGGAAUGUCACCUAUCAAAUUAUUGUUUCUCAGAAACAAUGCUCGAAGAUCAUGGAGGGAUCCCACUGAAGUAGGAAUCUUUCCUGACAACUGAUUUUGACUCAAAUCCAUAAAAGCUAAUGACUUGAAAUGGCUCCAACAAUCUGGAAUUUGUCCAGACAAGUUAUUAUUUGAAAGGUCUAACUGGUAUAAUAUUCCAAUUGGAUCACCCACACAUAAAAAUGAAAGAGAGCCUGAGAACUUAUUAUUGGAUAAAUCAAGCAAUGUGGAACUUCUAAGAAACGGGGGAAUAGGGCCUUCAAAUUGAUUUGAUCCAAGAAUUAGAGAAGAAUAAGGAUUCUUUGUUGGAAAAUACGGAAUUAUACCAUAUAGACUAUUGCAUGAAAUAUUCAUUGAAACCCAUUUUCGCAAUGCUAAUUUAGUCCAAAACAACUUCGGAACCAUAUCUGAUAUUCCAGCAUUUGAAAUAUCCAAAUCGCGAAACUCAUUUUGUGUUUGUAACCAUUUGGGGAAUGUUGGACCCAGGAUGCAUGAUUCCAAUCCUAUUUUCCUUAAUUGAAAAGGUGAGACCCAAUUUUGAGUAAAUGUCAAGGAUAAUAAAGAAUUUCCAGAUAAGUCUAACGAAUAUAACUUUGACAAAUUGGCAAAUUGGUAAUCACUUAGCACACCCUUUAAGGAGUUUGAUUGCAUAUACAGUUCUUCCAAUUGAUGUGGAAAUUGAAUAUCAUUAGGAAACUCCCCAUUCAACUUGUUUCCAUCAAGAUACAGACUUUUUAAAGACAAGAAAAUUGAGAGGUCAGGUAAUGUACCAUUGAUUUGGUUCCUGCCUAGAUUUAAGUUUUCCAAUGAAUAUCUAGCACACCCAGAUAAGUGAUGGACUAUCAAUGGAAACUCUUCACUCAAGCUAUUGUUAAACAUAUUCAACCACAGCAAAGCACAUGCAUUGCCAAAUGAUUUUGGAAUUCCACCUUCUAAAGUAUUUGAUCGAAUUGAGAGAAACUCCAACUGAGAUGGCAAUUGGUUACCUUCUGGUAUCUCUCCACUUAACUGAUUUUUCGAAAGAUCUAGUAUUUGCAGGUUUGAAAAUCCUGAAAGGUCAGGGAAUGUGCCAUUGAUAUUAUUUCCUGGCAACGCCAAAUAUUGUAGCGCGUUUUUAGCACAUUCAGACAAGUGCUGGAAUAUCAAUGAAAACUGUCCACUCAAUCUAUUAUAAGACAUGUGCAAUGAGCGUAAAGUGCAUGUAUUUCCAAAUGAUUUUGGAAUUUCACCUUCUAAAAAGUUGUAUGAGAGUGACAAUGACUCCAAUCGAGAUGGUAAUAUGCUUUCAGGUAUCUUUCCAGAUAAUUGAUUGCUAGAAAGAUCUAAUAUUUUCAAAGUUGUGAAUAUGGAGAAAUCUGGGAAAGAACCAUUGAUUUUGCUAAAUGAGAGAUCUAAUAUUUGUAGUGAAUUUCUAGCACAAGCAUUAGACAAAUUAUGAAGAAUUGGUGAAAGACUUUGGUUCAAACUGUUUCCACCCAUGCUUAAAGAUUUUAAGGUGCAUAUAUUCAUGAAAGAUUGAAAAACCUCAACCUUGAAUCUGUUAAAUAAGAGGUUAAGGUGCUCAAGUGAAUUCAUUACAAGAUCAAAGUGAUUUGGUACAGAACCCUCUAUGAGAUUAAGACUAAGGUGAAGCUCAACAAGGUUGGGAGUGAAGUUUGCCACCCAUUGGAAUAUCAUUGUUGACAUGAGGGUGUUCUCGGAUAGAUCAAGGACCGUGAGGGAAGUAGAAAAAUUCAAUAUAGAUGGCCUCGAUGAACGGAAAAAAUCAUCAGUAAGGCUACAAUUUAAUAAACUUAGUUCCCUUAAUUUUGGUAGCUUACCAAUCAUUUGCGGAGAAUGAUAAAGAUUUGAUAUGGAUGAUAAGUAAAGAUGGGUUAAAGAAAUGAGAUUAGAUAACCACUGACCUCCAUCACCAAUUUUUAGAGCGCCACCAUUUCCAAUAUAAAGCUCAUGUAAGUUUGACAGGUUUCCAAGUUGACUUGGUAUAUUCCCUUCAAAAAUAUUGUACCUGAGAUCAAGAUGUUGCAACUGAAAGAGGUUUCCAAGUUGACUUGGUAUAUUCCCUUCCAAAUGAUUGUGGCGGAGAUCAAGAUAUUGUAAGUGAGAGAGAUUUCCAAGUUGAAUUGGUAUAUUCCCUUCAAAUCUAUUGUUGUUGAGAUCAAGAUGCUGCAACUGAAAGAGGUUUCCAAGUUGACGAGGGAUUGGACCCUCCAAAAAAUUAUCAGCGAGACUUAAGUAUUUCAAAUGAGAAAGAGACCCAAAUUGGGUUGGAAUUUUUCCGUCAAAACCACAUGAUGAAAGAUCGAGGUAUCUCAAGUUGCUAAGAGAGCCAAUAAACUCUGGAAUAUUACUGUCUGGAAAAGAAUUGAAACUAAGGUUCAAAUAUUCUAACUGUGGCAACUCCAUCAACGACUUGUGGAUCUCUCCGCUCAUAUAACGUCCUGAAAUAUAUUCGAUGUCAAAAUUGAAAUAAUUUUCUCCGUGGAGAUCGAGCAUUAGAAUAUGGCCGGUGAGGUUGCUGCAGCGAAUUCCCUUCCAUCGGCAACAGUGGGGAGUUGUCCAAGAAGAGAGGAUGCCAUAGCGAUCUACAAUGGCAGCCUUGAAUCGGAGGAGUGCUUCCCUCUCUCUCUCUCUGCAUCUUACUUCCUUUUCACCAUAAACAACAUCCGUCACCAAACACACCAUAAACAUCAUCAACAUAAACAUCAUGAAUUUGAUACCAAGUGGUUUCCUCAUCAUCACAACAAGUUAAUGGAUCAAACACACUCUAUAUUAGAAAUAGAUUGGUACUGUGACUUUAGCUCUGUCUAUAACCAUAUAUAUAACACUUCAUGCAUCCAUAAAAAAAAAGUAAGAAUUCUAAUAUGUUAAAUUUUUCUUCAAAUUUUUGUGUGUUAAAUUAUGUUCUAUGUCGGACAAGAGAAACAAAGACGAAAGACUUAGAAAAAGACUUCGGUAAAUCACAUUCGAUAAACAACAAAAGUAGAAGUUGUUAUGAAGUUACAUGAUCCCCUUAUAGAUGUGACUUUGCAAAUAAAAAACAAAAAGAUAAUAUGAAACCUAUCACAUUGGGUUAACAUUAAAUGUGCAAAAAUUAUAUGAAAUGGUCCCUUAUACGACUUUGUAUGAUUUUUUUGCAUAAACAAAAAACAACGUUGUCAUCCCCAUACGUGACCCCCUCAUCGAUAUGACUUUGCAAGUAAAAAACAGAGAUAAUAUCCAACCUAUCAUAUUAGAUUAAACACUAAUUGUGGAAAUUUUACUAGGUGACAUGGUCCCUUAUACGACUUUGUAGGAACAAAACUAAAAAAAAUACCUUGAAAAUUCAAUGCAAUAAAAGUCUAAAAUUUAUAUUUCAUUAGUCUUGUAUAAACAAAAUAGUAAGCACCUAUUAUUGAUUGCUUUGCAUAUAGAGUUUUCUAGUCCAUGUAAGGAUUUUUGCACUAGUUAUUUUAGAGAUUAUGCUUCAGUUCUUUAAUCAAAACGUUUGUUGACAGGAUAAAAAUACAUAACAUUAGGUAUCGAUUCAUAACUGAAGCCUAUUUUUAACUUUAUGGUUCAGUUCCUUUUUGAACCAAAACCUAAUCCUAUAUUUUUUUUAAAAAAAAAUAGUUUCUUCUCAUUUUUAUGUUUUUUUCCAUCAUAGAAUUACUGUGCUCUCCAUCAACAAACAAAGUCACCACUACUUUUCCCAUCUUCACAUUGAAUAAAAGAGAUUAAGAAAAUAUUUGCAUUAGAAAACACGAAUUAUGAAAAAAAAAUGCAAGACGAAAGAACAAACCUCUAACUGCUUUCGAAAUGGGAAGAAAAGUGAUGUUUGUAGUGACAACACGGCAACACACUUCACGUUAGUUAGGAGGAAGGGAAAGGAAAGUGGAGGAGUGACGGCGAAAAUGGUAGCGUGGUUUGUGUUUGACAACAAGGAAUGGAGCAAAGUGACUCUUGUACUGUAGAAAUGAUGCAGCGCUACAAAUGAAAAAAAAAAAAACUUUGAUAGAAAUAUAAUUUUAACCCUAACAUAUGGUUUUCCAAAUAAUUUCAAUUUACAAAAAUAUCACUAAUGACAUUUUUGAAAUUAUUUGAAAGACUAUAAGUUUUGGUUCUUUUAAAGAACCGAAACAUACAUUAUUAUAGGUUUCAAUUAUUUUAGAACCAAAACCUAUAAUUAGUACAAAAUUUUCAAAAAUACUAAGGCAUUUUGAAAGACUUCGUUUAGAUAUGAUGGUUAAUGUAUUGUAUGACUCUCCGGUCAAUAUUUUCAAAGUUGACUGAUUGGUAAACAUUUUCAAAAGAAUAUUGAAGACUUACCUAAUUCUAAGAUUUUGUAGAUCGGACGGUUUCUUUUCUAGUCGAUCGGUGAUUCUACUGUUAAGAUAAAUAACACAAACUCAACAUGUUCAACAAGUAAAAGUAGGUAAAACACACUUAUCGGCUUUUGGGCUGUAAUUGGGUCAACCCUAAUUAAAAGUUCACUUUGAUACCUAUAAAUACAGAGGUAAGGUAAGGAGGUAGGUGAUUGCAUUUAUUGCAAAUUUAAGAUUUUACUAUGAUAACCGAUCAGAUACAUUUGACUUACUUGAGCGUCAGAGUGUCUUUGACAAGUACCCACCCAUUUGGCUUGGAGACUGGAGGAGGAAGACUAAAAAUUAUUUUGAUAGACCCAUGAUAACGUUAAAAAGACUAACAAAAAGGUGUGAAAGGAUAGUUCUCGACCCCAUAUCUGAAACAUUUUGGCACCCACCGAGGGGCCCGAGGACAAACAAAGAAACCUAAUGGUGACCUGAUAACGGUUCAAAAACCGUUAUUUUCAUACUUAAAUUUGACAUUAAACACACCCUUUAUGACUUAGAAUUAGCUUGAAAUCAUGCAAUUGGCUUAAGUUAGAGAAUAAGAGAGUCAAAGUUGGUUUUCUUGGUUUUAUGCUUGGUUUUUCCAUGAUUUGGCAGGAUUUAUCAGGAAUUGAAUGAAGGUAUUUGAAGACGAUAAGAGUUGGGCUUAAGAGAAGGUGGAAAAGUGAAGAAAAAAAGAGUCGCAGCCACCGUCGGGCGGUGUACUCUCCAGAGAACUCUCUGCUAAACGCUUAAGCGACACCACUGAGGGGUGGAGUGGAAUGUCGACCUCACCGAUGGGCAGUGAAAUCACCGUCGGGCGAUGUCAAGUGUCGAACUCACCGUCUAGCAGUGAACCAACCGUCGGGCGGUGUACUAUUGGACCUGGUGAUGAGUCGAUAUUUUAUUCAUUUCACUUAGUUUAUUGUGCUAAAAUUAAUCAGGGAAUUGUGCUUAAUUAUCCAGUAUUUUCCCGUUUUUCCUAAUUAUGCUUAAUUUGACCGAAAAUUCUAAUUUUAAUUAAUUUGAAUUUUCUGAGCUUAUUAUUCGCAUUAUUAUUUUCAGGGAAAAUUUUGAAAACACUAUUUAGGACAUUUGGAGGACACCAAAUAAAUUCAAGACUCUCAAAUUAGACAUUUUAAAUUUUAGUUGUAUUGUAAUUUUAAUUGUUAAAACUUUUUAGACAAACUCUUUGCAUCAUGGGCCAUUUUGGCAAAAAUAUGAAGGCCCAAAAUUGUAGGACACGUGAACUAGGGUUUUAUUUUUUUUAGGGUCGACCCCACCUCAUUUUAGAAGACACAUGGCCUCUUAGAAAGACUACCAGCCGUCACACUUAGGACAGCAUUAUCCUCUGCUGAAAAAAAAAUAAGGUGCUGCCACGUUGGGAGAAGGGCUCUCGGCUGGAACGUGUUUUUGGGGCAGCAACAUUUUUCUUGAAACAAUGUUGAUGCUAGUGCUUGAUUUUGGAUGAAUGAAGAAUCAAUUGUUUACUUUUUAUUUUAGUGUACACGUUACUGGAAGAAAGCAAAUGCUUCUCUUAAUUUUCCAUUUCCAUUGAGCUUUUAUUUUGCAUUUGCCGAGACAAGCAUUGUCCUGCAAUGAUUAUUUUUUUUAUUUGCUGCUUCAUUGAUUUAUGGGAAGAUAAGCACUUGGUACGUACAACAUUUACUUUGCUUUGAAUGAGUAAGAAUGUAGAUUAGGUUGAUGGGAUGUGGUAGCUGAAUGAUAUCAAACUUUUCUCUUAUUUUCUUUUAGCAUGAAGAGUGAUGGCCUAGGUAGAAGUAGGUGUGUAGGUGUGUGCGUUGGAUGCUGGAAGGAGAGUAACCUUUUAUUUAUUUUAAUGGCAUGAUGAAUGGAUUAGAUAAGAGUAGAUAGGUGUGCAGUGCAGGAUAGGAUUUCUAGGAUUUCUUUUAGAGCAAUUUAUUUCUUCUCUUUGGAUGAGGUACGGUGAUGGUAUUGGAAAUUUGAGGAGCAGCCACUUGGAGAGGACAUUUCUUUUUAUCACAUUAUAUUCUUGGAGAAAGGGACACCAACUGUCGCACUCAAUUCUGAAGUUUUCUUUGAAUGUUUAUCUACGUUAAGCUCAUUUGAGGAAUUGUUAAUUGCCCUUUCUUUCUUUUUCUUGGUUUUCAUAACUUUUUGGUUGAAGGAAGCACGACUUUUAUUUGCAUAGGGUGAAGCGGUGCAGAGGUGGAGGCUCACACGGUUUCAUUAUUGGAGUGCUGCACGGUGUCUUAAGCAUUGCUUCUUUUUCAGCUACAAUGUGUUCAUCUAAUGUUUUAAUGCUUUAAAGCCAUUUUCAUUGUGUCACGGGUUUAGUUUAGAGAAUGCACGGUGAUUUUUAAUUUUGCUUGAAAAUGAAAGCUGCUGCAUGUUCAAUGCCUUUAUUAGCUAAUUUUAACUUUUAACAUAACUCACAUAUGCCACGGGAUAGGAGCAAUGUCACGACCUUGAGGGUCUCCUAGGCCAUUUUGCAAAUUUAAUUUCAUUUGGUAGAUGCCAUAGGUCAUGUUAAUUGCUAAAAGUAAAUUGUGUUUUUUAUUUCUUUUACUUUAUUUUAAUUUCACAAAGUUUUUUGAGUUGGGUUUUAUAUUUUUAGUUUAGUGAUGCAUAUUAAUAAUUUUAAUUAUGCUAGAUAUUUGUAUUACAGUGUUAGGCGUUUCAUAUUUUCUUUUAUUUUAAUGUUGUCUGGUAUUUUUGGUAGUGGUAAUUUAGCUGUCAUGUUAGCUUUAGUAUCCAACCUUAGUUAGGUUUAAUUUGUGUGUUUUAAUUUAGUCUAAUUGCAUUCACAAAACACUUUCAACCCCCCCCAACUUCGUGUUAGACCUGAUUCUCGAACCACAGUUUGGUCCUUGAGAGACGACCUAGGAGUCACUUCCUAACUAUACUGCAUUUCUAAAUUGCAAUCAAAUUUGUGUGGGCCGCGACACCCAUCACCUGGGCUAGUUUCUGCUUGGAUUUGAGGAAUUAUAAAUAGAUUUGGACGAGCUUGAUGGUCUAUCUUUUGACAGAUAGAGGCGUAGAAAUACUCUCUUCACCCCUCAGAGGUGGAUUUUGGAUGCGGGAGCUCCAAUCUAUCAAAUCUAGAGUUUAUCUUUUCAUUCUUUCCAUUAUUUUCUUCUAGUUUCACCAUGAUUAUGGUGAACUAAACCUCCAUUGUUGUUGGGGACUUGAUGUAAUCCUUUGAAACUCUCAUAUAUUGAAUUGUUGCUUUAUUCAUUAAUUGUUAGGGUUUUUCCUCCAUUAUAUUUGCAUGCUUUGUUUAAGACAUUAUUCAAUAGCAUAAUCUUUGAUUCUAUCUAUAUGGACACGUGUGGGUAGGUCUAGACAUGAGGGAAUUCUCUUGGUAACAAUAUUACCUAGACAUAGGGAUAGGAGGACCAAUUCCCUUAAGCUUUUGUGUGAAUUAUGUAAUGCAUGAUCAAUUACUAGGGAGACAAGACAUUGUAAACUAGUAAUUAGGAGUAGUCUCUUUUCACCAAGACAUUGGGGUUAGUGUAAAUUAGAAAGUGGCAUUGACAUUAAUGAAAAAGUCGAAUUCUUAGAUAUAUGAGAGUGGAUAGGUUGAAAUCAUAAACCCCAAUGACAUAAUUCAUUCAUGCAUCAUUCACUUGUGUUAUCUUUUGGUCAAUUGAUCAAAACCUUUGCAUUCAUAUUUAAUUUUCGUUUUUGCAUUAUAAAACCCUAAUGUUCGUUAUUCAAGUCUUAAAUAAUCAAUAAAUCACAUGAAAGUCUAGGCCUAUAAGUCUCUAGGGAAACGAUACUCUGACUUACCAUUUAUUAUUACUUGAUACGAUUCGGUACACUUGCCCGACCCUUAACAAGUUUUUUGCGCCGUUGUCGGAGACUCGUGGUUUAACUAUUCUAGUAGUGUGAUUACUGAUUGAAUUUGACUUGAUUUUUGUUUUCUUUUUGUUUUUGUUUUCUUUUUGUUUUUGUUUUAUUUUUAUAUAAAAGUGCUUUUUAGGGUUUUGUUUCUUGUGUAUGCAGGAUACAAUUCAUAUUAGGAGCAAGAAAAAUCUACAACCUCUUCUUGGAGGUUUGAGUGCAAUCGGAGGAGAGGGAAGGUUCGAAGAUCAUCUAGAGAAUUAUUCCCCUCUCUUAAGAGACUAUUGCAACCCUCAUUAGGAACAUCCAACCAAAGUACAAAAAAGAUGGCUAAGGAGGAAGCUCCUGUUAGACGCACUCUAGCGGAUGCAACCAAUGUGGUUGGCCCUCAACAUUUUAACAGCAUUGCAAGGUCGAGGUUCAAUGCAUUGAACAUGGAAGUGAAAUUGGCGUUGAUACAUUUGGUGCAAAGCAACCAAUUUGAUGGACUGUCACAUGAAAGUUCAUAUGAUCAUCUCAAUAUAUUCAAUGAGAUAUGCAACACGAUGAAGAUCAAUGAAGUGUCGGAUGGAGCAAUCAAACUUAGCUUGUUUCCUUUCUCAUUGGGAGGCAAUGUUAAACUGUGACUAAAUUCUUUCCCGGAAGAAAGUUUUACAGCUUGGGAGGCUGUGGUGGCAAAAUUUCUGAACAAAUAUUUUCCACAGUCUAAAAUCAACAAAGGAAAGAUGGAGAUAUCUUCUUUCAGGCAAGGCAUGGAAGAAACCCUAGGUUAGGCAUGGGACAGAUAUAAAAUUUUUGAGGAAGACACCUGUGCACAGUUGUAGUUCUCACAUUCCUUGUAGGUCUUGGCACUCAAUCUAAGCUUAUGCUAGAUGCCUCAGCUGGAGGUAAUAUCAAGAUAAAGACUGCUGAAGAAGCAUAUGAGUUGAUAGAAAGCAUGGCAGUUAAUGAGAAUGAAACUCAUAGUGAAAGGGGCGUGCCACUUCAAAAGAGGGAAGUUCUUCAAUUGCCUACUGAAGAAGCAUUGCUUGCGCAGAACAAGAUUCUAACUCAAUAAUUGGAGAAUCUGGAAAGGACUAUUGCUCAACUCCCUAACGAGUUAAAGAAUGUUUCGCAAGUACAACAACAACUUUGUGAUCGUUGUGGUGGUGACCAUGUUAAUGGUCAGUGUGCUUUUCCAGAGGAGGCCCAAGAAGAAGCAAAUUACAUGGGAAAUCAGUUUCAAUACCGCCAGGGUAAUUUCAAUCAAGGUAAUUACAACCAAGGUUGGAAAAACCAUCCAAGCAUUGGGCAAAGCCAGAAUACUCAAACUAGACAAACUGGAGGCCAAUUUAACCGACCACAACAGCCACCAUUAUGGCAACAGGUAUCUACUUUGACUGAAAAAGUCAGCAGCCUUAAUGAGAAGUUUGACAAAUUUUUGAAGGUGCAUGAAUCCACAGUCAAGGGCUAUGAGGCUACCUUCAGAAGUUUGGAUAUGCAAAUUCGUCAAGUAGCCAAAAGGGUGGACGUCAUGGAGAAAAAUCAAUUUGGGACUAAUACUGAAGUUAACCCUAAAGAAUAUUGUAAGGUUGUGGUGAGUAUGGUUGAGGAAAGAGUGGAAAAAGAAAGUGUUGAGUUGGAAAAGAGAGAAGAAAAAGAAGAAAUAUGUGAGGGAGAGAUUAGAGAAGAAAAAGAGAAUAGGGGAAAGAAAAAAAAUAGAAAAAGAAGAAAAAAUUGAGAAAGAUGAGAUAGUUCUUCCUUACCCGAAGGGGCACUAGAGAGAAGAGAGUAAGUGUGAGCGCUUUAUAGAAAUCUUCAAUCAAAUGGAGAUUACUAUACCGUUGACCGAAGCACUUCAACAAAUUCCUGUUUAUGCAAGGCGUAUAAAGCAAUAUCUUGGAGAAAAGAUAGAUUUUGAGGAGAAAGCUACUGAGGAACAAGAAGGUUGCAGUGACCCUCUGAAGAAAAGACACCCUCCAAAAGUGAAGGAUCCAAGAAGUUUUAUAAUUCCUUGCGUCGUUGGGAGUGUGAAGAUAGGAAAAGCUUUACUUGAUUUAGGGUCAAGUAUUAACUUGAUGCUUUUAUCUAUGCAGAAGAAGAUUGGUGGUCUUACAUUGAAGCCAACAAAGAUUUCAUUGAUCACAGCGGAUGGAUCAUCAAAGAAACCCUAUGGUGUGGUGGAGGAUGUUGUGAUUUGUAUUGAAAGUCUUGAAUUCUUGGUUGAUUUUGUGGUGAUAGAGAUGAAGGAGGAUGAUAAGAUCCUGGUUAUUCUUGGAAGGCCAUUUACGAAGAUGGCCAGAGUAAUUAUUAAUGUUUAUGAUGGGGCAAUUGUGCUUAAAGACCGAGAAGAAAAUGUGAUAUAUAAUGUCUCUAAAGAGAAGCAGAUUCGAGUAAAAAAGAAUAAUAGUCACAAAUCUUCAAAGAAGGAUGCACCAGUGGCUAAACCUAAAUUUGCUAAAGCGGUCAACAAAGGUAAUAAUUGUGUUUUAAUGCAGGUGAAGGAAGAAGAGAAAUUUGACAAAGGAGGGACGGUUCACUUUGAUUUGAAGGAUGCACCAUUCAAGCCUGGUACUCCUGUGAGAUACAAGAAGAAGUUGUGGGUGGUGAAAUGUUUUAAAGAGAAUGGAGAGAUAGAGAUUGAAGCUCCCUACUCUAGGCGAGUCAAGAAGGUGGACUGAACACAAUUGAUGAGUUGGUGUGAUGAAGGCAAAGAAGACAUCAACUUGAAGGAAGGAACUUGAGCUUUACUGGGCCAAGCUAGUGACGUUAAAAGAGCGCUUGUUGGGAGGCAUCCUAGUGAUGUUGAGAUUGUUGACAACACAAUUUCUAUGUCACUCUAGUUUUUUAUGAUGACAACACAUUGCUUAAUAACAUGCAUAUGUUGUUGCUACAUUACAUGUUCUUAUGCUGAUUGAUUGUUAUAUCUGUUGAACAUGUUUAUGUAAUGUGUUACAUGUUCCUAUGUUGAUUGAUUGAUAUAUAUGUGGAACGUGUUUAUGUGCUUUAUGUGUUAUGUGCAAUGCAUCAUUACAAAUGUUUUACUGCACAUGUUUUAAAGCUGAAAACCACAAGCACUUUCAUGAUCUUAUCAUUGUGUGACAAAACUAUAGUACAGUCGACUACAUUAUUAAUGGAUUCGACUAUGCUAAAAUCUUUGUACAGAUUUUGAGUACAGUGCUCUGUGAUAUUUUCAGAAGAAAAGAAUUUCAAAAUGUUUUGCAUGUUGAAAGUCGACUAUGUGCGCCACACAUUCGACUAUGUUAGUUGUUUGAUUUGAAAUUUUGUUAUGCUCUUGCACUCCAACAGCUAUAUUUUUAAAUACAUAAGAAUUCCAUGUUUUACAACUAAUCUCAACUAAUAGGAAAAGCCCUCCAUGGAGGAGAACUUAGGGUUCUACAAAUUGAAGAGAUAAGGAAGAAAUUGGAACCAAAGAGAAGAUGCAAAGCCUUUCCCAAGGUUCUUGGCAGCUGCUCCAUGAUCCAUUUGCGCCUCCCCUUCGCAUCUCCNUCUCCAAUUUGUGACCCAUCUUCUUCCUCAACCCAAAAGGGGCAAAAUCACCAUUGAAGAAGCUUGAAGACCCAAGGAGGAGUAGGAGAGCUUCCCAACACCCCAAAUAGCCUCCAAGGGUCUCUCCCAAUCUCUCUAGGUGAAGAAUGAAGUGUAGGAGGAGAAGACCCAUGUUUAAAUAACCCAUUUUGACAUAUCAGCGAAAAUUCGCGCCCAGCUCGGAUUCCUGGCGCCCAACGCGACUUUUCACUGAAUCAGAAGUGAGUUACAGCAAGUUUUCGCGCCCAGCGCCACUUUUUGGCGCCCAACCCCAUUAUCUGGCGCCCAGCCCCAUUCUGUGGCGCCCAGCCUGGAGUCUCUCUGCAACUCUGGCACCCAACUCGGAAUUCUAGCGCCCAGCUUGGAUUUCUCUGCAACUCUGGCGCCCAGCUUGGAUUUCUGGCGUCCAGCUUGGAUUUUUGGCGCUCAGCUCGGGCGGUUUCGACAGCAUUCUAAAAUUGAGGCUCUUGUGCGAUUCCAAAGGCGUCCAACAUGGGUAUUUGCUUCAAAUUGAUCUUUUAUUGUCCCAAAACAUGUUCCCUUGAGUUUUUGCUUGUUUUCCUCCACUAGAAUGACUUCCUAUUCAUUUAUUUCACACACUCAAACAUAGAGAUUAGAGGUAAAAACAAACAUAUACUAAAUAAAACACAAGAAAACUAUAAAACACACUAAACGUGAGGAUAAAACAAGGUAAAAGCUAUGAAGGAGUUGAUUUGUUCUCAAAAUAUACACACACAAACACGUUAAAUCAACCGUUAUCACUCUCCCACACUUAAAACCUUGCUUGUCCUCAAGCAAGAGGUAACUUGGUUAAGAAAAACAUCUACUCAACAAAAGUCAAAUAACUAGGAAGCAAGUUCACACAAUCAAAUUAGAUAACAUUCAUUAAUGCUCUUCUUUCAAUACCAAUCCAAAGAGAAUAUGUGUAACGUUGUAAAUCCUUAGCUAUGGUGCUCACAAUGCAAAUAUUACAAGAAUGAAUGUACAUGCUUUAUGAGAGAUUAACAAUCAUGNNNNNNNNNNNNNNNNNNNNNNNNNNNNNNNNNNNNNNNNNNNNNNNNNNNNNNNNNNNNNNNNNNNNNNNNNNNNNNNNNNNNNNNNNNNNNNNNNNNNNNNNNNNNNNNNNNNNNNNNNNNNNNNNNNNNNNNNNNNNNNNNNNNNNNNNNNNNNNNNNNNNNNNNNNNNNNNNNNNNNNNNNNNNNNNNNNNNNNNNNNNNNNNNNNNNNNNNNNNNNNNNNNNNNNNNNNNNNNNNNNNNNNNNNNNNNNNNNNNNNNNNNNNNNNNNNNNNNNNNNNNNNNNNNNNNNNNNNNNNNNNNNNNNNNNNNNNNNNNNNNNNNNNNNNNNNNNNNNNNNNNNNNNNNNNNNNNNNNNNNNNNNNNNNNNNNNNNNNNNNNNNNNNNNNNNNNNNNNNNNNNNNNNNNNNNNNNNNNNNNNNNNNNNNNNNNNNNNNNNNNNNNNNNNNNNNNNNNNNNNNNNNNNNNNNNNNNNNNNNNNNNNNNNNNNNNNNNNNNNNNNNNNNNNNNNNNNNNNNNNNNNNNNNNNNNNNNNNNNNNNNNNNNNNNNNNNNNNNNNNNNNNNNNNNNNNNNNNNNNNNNNNNNNNNNNNNNNNNNNNNNNNNNNNNNNNNNNNNNNNNNNNNNNNNNNNNNNNNNNNNNNNNNNNNNNNNNNNNNNNNNNNNNNNNNNNNNNNNNNNNNNNNNNNNNNNNNNNNNNNNNNNNNNNNNNNNNNNNNNNNNNNNNNNNNNNNNNNNNNNNNNNNNNNNNNNNNNNNNNNNNNNNNNNNNNNNNNNNNNNNNNNNNNNNNNNNNNNNNNNNNNNNNNNNNNNNNNNNNNNNNNNNNNNNNNNNNNNNNNNNNNNNNNNNAACUAGCAAUGAAACUCAAGCAAAGUUAAUUGUAACCAAAAGAGGUAGCACUCAUAGAUAAAAACUCUGAGGCACAAAAUCUCACCCGGUUAAGUUCUUUGGUUUCCAAUGGUUGUCAUAGAUCAUGCCACAAUCAUUAACCACAGUAAAAACAAUAACAACAUUCUCGAUAUACUCACAUAAGAAACAACCACAAGCAUAAGUUUUCACAAAAUCACAACACAUUCCCAAGUAUUCCAAAACCAAUUUAUGAGCAAACACAAAUGGUUCUCCUCAAAUUCAUGCAAAACUCACUCAAAGUCACAUAACCAAUGCAUCAUAUUUGUUAAACUAGCCAAGUCACACUUAUUAUCAACAACAGGAAAAAAAAUUGAAAGGGAAAGAAAAAGCAAACUCUUUUUUGGCGGACCAACUUGCUGCUCAAAUUCCUCAGCUCCUUGUGUAUUUUUCUUCAUCAACGUUCAUACCUUAUGCUUGCCAGAACACCAAGAAACUCGAACAAACACGUUAGUCCAAUUUUAAUAGAAACCACGUUUUGAAGAAUUGGAAAUUGAAAAACAUAAAGAUAAAAACAAAAGUAACAUAUAGAGAAGUGAAAUAGAAAAAUGAAAAACACAAACAAAGAAACAAGGAAAAGAAGAAACAAAAAUUGCAUAACAUGAGCACACCAACCAAACAACAAUUCUAAUAUGCAGAAUGAUUGAAAUGGAUUUCCUAAAUACCCUCACUCAGAUCCCUCUUGUUGCAAGAUCACUUAGUACUCUCCUGGGGUGAUGAAUACUACUUUCCCUAUUCUCUAAUGUAAAAACACUCAGAUCCCUGUUGUUGCGCCUAUUUAAACUUGACACACCUCACUCAAUCCCUUGGCAUAAGCAUGUAUCAAAACUUGCAUUAAGAACCAGAACAGUGGGGUCCAAAUACACAAUCAUGUCGUCUGUCACUCGGGUGACUAGUAAUAUCUGGGUUGAUUUAGCUAGUUCGGUUGCUGAAACCCCAUCCCUGGGCAUCCCAACAACUAGAUCAUGCUCUAAGGCAUACCCUGAAACAAGCUUUAAGCACAAACCAAACCAGUGAAAAGUAUAAACAUCUGAAGACAAACUGCAUAAAAGAAACACAAACAUAGCAGACAUACAAUUGGCAAAUAAUUCCACUUUCCCUGUUUUCUAAAGUUAGAACACUCAGAUCCCUCUUGUUGUGCCUACCUAAGUAUGACAAACCCUCACCCAAUCUCUUGGCGUAAGAAGUCCAUCAAAACUUGCCUUAAGUUCCAAAAUAGUGAAUCCAAACACAACCCCAUCCCUGGUGAUUGCACAUCUGGUUUGAUUUAGUUAGUUCCGCUACUGAAACCUUAUCCCUAAGCAUUUCANNAACUGCAUCAAGCUCUAAGGUGUACCCCGAGACAGGCAUUAAGUACAAACUAAAUCAAUGGAAAGUCUUAGAAACUAAAGCCAACUGCAGACAAAACAACAUUCAAAGACACAACAAACAAGAAAAGUCUAAAAGAGCCAUAAAUGCCUAAAUUGCCUUGUGUUGGAACACAAGUCCCCGGCAACGGCGCCAAAAACUUGUUGGCUGCAAAACCAACGGCAAGUGCACCGGUCGCAGCGUAGCAAGUGAUAAAUAUCGUUCUCUCCCAAGGGACUUGUGCACCACAUGACAAUUCUUCCUUUUAUAACCCAAUUAGACAUCAAAGUGCACAAAAACAACACAAGAAAAUCUUUGUGGUAUUUUAUCAAACAGUUGGUGUGCAAGGAAUUUAACAUAGUGUAUUUACAAUUUGUCAAGACUAGAAUUCAUCCAUUUCAUUCUCAUGCAUUCACAAACAUCUCAAUUCCAUCCAAUANNNNNNNNNNNNNNNNNNNNNNNNNNNNNNNNNNNNNNNNNNNNNNNNNNNNNNNNNNNNNNNNNNNNNNNNNNNNNNNNNNNNNNNNNNNNNNNNNNNNNNNNNNNNNNNNNNNNNNNNNNNNNNNNNNNNNNNNNNNNNNNNNNNNNNNNNNNNNNNNNNNNNNNNNNNNNNNNNNNNNNNNNNNNNNNNNNNNNNNNNNNNNNNNNNNNNNNNNNNNNNNNNNNNNNNNNNNNNNNNNNNNNNNNNNNNNNNNNNNNNNNNNNNNNNNNNNNNNNNNNNNNNNNNNNNNNNNNNNNNNNNNNNNNNNNNNNNNNNNNNNNNNNNNNNNNNNNNNNNNNNNNNNNNNNNNNNNNNNNNNNNNNNNNNNNNNNNNNNNNNNNNNNNNNNNNNNNNNNNNNNNNNNNNNNNNNNNNNNNNNNNNNNNNNNNNNNNNNNNNNNNNNNNNNNNNNNNNNNNNNNNNNNNNNNNNNNNNNNNNNNNNNNNNNNNNNNNNNNNNNNNNNNNNNNNNNNNNNNNNNNNNNNNNNNNNNNNNNNNNNNNNNNNNNNNNNNNNNNNNNNNNNNNNNNNNNNNNNNNNNNNNNNNNNNNNNNNNNNNNNNNNNNNNNNNNNNNNNNNNNNNNNNNNNNNNNNNNNNNNNNNNNNNNNNNNNNNNNNNNNNNNNNNNNNNNNNNNNNNNNNNNNNNNNNNNNNNNNNNNNNNNNNNNNNNNNNNNNNNNNNNNNNNNNNNNNNNNNNNNNNNNNNNNNNNNNNNNNNNNNNNNNNNNNNNNNNNNNNNNNNNNNNNNNNNNNNNNNNNNNNNNNNNNNNNNNNNNNNNNNNNNNNNNNNNNNNNNNNNNNNNNNNNNNNNNNNNNNNNNNNNNNNNNNNNNNNNNNNNNNNNNNNNNNNNNNNNNNNNNNNNNNNNNNNNNNNNNNNNNNNNNNNNNNNNNNNNNNNNNNNNNNNNNNNNNNNNNNNNNNNNNNNNNNNACAUGUUCCCUUGAGUUUUUGCUUGUUUUCCUCCACUAGAAUGACUUCCUAUUCAUUUAUUUCACACACUCAAACAUAGAGAUUAGAGGUAAAAAAAAACAUAUACUAAAUAAAACACAAGAAAACUAUAAAACACACUAAACGUGAGGAUAAAACAAGGUAAAAGCUAUGAAAGAGUUGAUUUGUUCUCAAAAUAUACACACACAAACACGUUAAAUCAACUGUUAUCACUAUAGAGCAAGUAACUCUGAUCACACCUUAUUUUUUAAGAGAGGAAAAGGAAAAUUUACAGCUUUAAUUAUAUAUGUAAAUGACAUGAUUGUUACAAGAAAUGACCAAGAUGAGAUUUCUAGUUUACAAUAAUACCUUGCAUCUGAAUUUGAGAUGAAACAACUUGGAAACCUUAAAUAUUUUUUGGGUAUUGAAGAAGUUAGAUCAAAACAUGGUAUUUUUCUAUGCCAAAGAAAAUAUAUUAUUGAUUUUUUUAAUCGGAAACUAGGCUGCUUGGGAGUAAACUGGUUGAUACACCAAUUGAACAAAAUCAUAAACUCUUUCAAUGCUCAAAUUCAGCAAGCAUAGACAAAGGAAGAUACCAAAGACUAGUAGGACAAUUAAUUUAUUUGUGCCAUACACAUCUAGAUAUCACCUAUGCAGUGAAUGUUGUUAGUCAAUUUAUGCAUGACCCACAAAAGCUUCAUAUGGAUGUUGUUGAAAGGAUUUUGAGAUAUUUGAAGUCCGCUCUUGGAAAAGGAAUUUUGUUCUCAAAUCAUGGAAACUUAAAUGUAGAAGGGUACACUGGUGCAAAUUGGGCAGGUUCAAAAGAUGAUAGAAGAUGUACCUCUGGAUACUUUACUUUUGUAGGACGGAGUCUUAUAACUUGGAGGAGUAAAAAACAACCUAUAGUAGUAGCAAGAUCUAGUGUUGAAGUAGAAUUCGGAGGCAUGGCACUAGGUGUAUAUGAACUUUUGUGAAUUAAAAAUAUGCUAUCAGAUUUGGGCUUUAAACAAAAUGAAGCUAUGAGUUUGUACUGUGACAAUACUUCGGCUAUAGCAAUUGCUCACAAUCCUGUGCAACAUGAUAGAAAAAAGCAUGUGGAGAUUGAUAGACAUUUCAUCAAAGAGAAGCUUGAAGCUAGAAUAAUUUCACUUCCUUUUGUAAGAUUAGAAUUGCAGUUGGUUGAUGUUCUCACCAAUGUCAAGAAGAUUGUUUAAUGAAUAUUUAUUCAAGUUGGGAAUUUUUGAUAUUCAUGCACCAACUUGAGUAUGGGUGUUAAGAUGUGUCAAAUAUUCUAUUAACGGAUAUUAGGCAAUCAAAUAUUGUGUUAGUUAUAAUUUAGAUAAUAUUAUAAUUUGUGAAGAUUUAUGUACAUGUCACUCCUUUAAUACAUGAAGAAUUAUAGGAUCCUUGUAUGUAUAUAUAUGGUACUCUACUCUUUGAAAUAAUACAUCAAAAUUAUUCUUUAAACCUUUUGAUAGUAUGUAUUUUUGUAAGGAUUUUGUAUUGGGGGUUAUCAUGACACUUCAAUAACCAUCCAAUUUCAAGUAGAGAAGGGUGAGGUAUGUCAUGACAAGUAAUAGGAGGUCCAUAGUUGUUAAGUCUCUAAAUUUCCCUAUUUUUCUAUGUUAAUACUCUUAUUUUAGGAUAGUUUAGCUUUUAAUUUUCUAUAAUUAAGGUAGAUUAGUAUAAUUAGAAUAAAAAUAGGUUUUUGAUAGAAAUAGUGCUAUUUUUUCCUUUUUAGUUAAAUAAAUAGUAUUUUUAAAUAAAUAAGUGUUUUGCUCUUUUCUUUAAAUGUUACAAUUUGUUUUUUUUUAGAAUUAUAGGAUUUUUUUUUUUGCUGCUAGAUUCUUUCAUUUUACAGAUGGGAUUGUGAUGCCUAAAGCAAUUAAAUUGAGCUGACAUUGAUUUGGAAGAAUGGGCUGCACAAAUGAAUCAUAGUGCGCAUUUUGAGGGAGCUGGCAGAAGACACUUGCUUUUGGGGGUUCUCGGUCAGAUUUGAAAAAGAAAAUAUAUUAGGCCACCACUGCAGAAAAAAUUGGGCCAUUGAAUAAAGAAAAGUUGAAGCCCUUUUGUUACAAUUAGUGAAACGGUGCGUAGAAGGCAAAAGCUGAAGUGGGUCUCUNAGUUUACAUCACAUUGUGCAGAGAUAGGAUCAUUUGAGUUUCCCCCAAUUCUUCACGAGCUAGGGUUCCAACAAAGAGAAGAACAGCGAACCAGAAGCGGGUUCCAUGGUUGAUUUCAAAAGCUGAUCAGAGGUCCACGGCCCAUAGGAAGGCAGCCCAGAAAGAUGAUCGGCCCAGAAACGUGAUCGGAGAAGUACGAAGCGGUCGACGGUUGAAGAAUGAUUCAGAGUUCGUUGAAGGAUCUUCGAGAAGCAUCUAAGCUGUAACUGAUUCCCUCCCCUUUCCCAUUUUCUUUUCUUUUUCUGUUUUUGGACUUACCCUAUAAAAAGGGGAAUUUUGUAAUAAGAAAAACACAAGUGGUGGGUGACAGACAUUGCUCUGACUCUAGCUCUCGACUUUGCUCUAGGCUCUAGGUUUUGGGUUUUCAAUUCUCUGUUUGUAGUUUAGGUUUUACUGCUUUCUUAGAGGUAGAUACGUUCUUUGCUUCACUGGAAUUCUUGGGGAUGAUCAAUGGGUGACAGACGUUGAGUUCUUUGAGAUUUCUGGUAUUUGUACUUUUGAUUUCCAAUUUUAAUAAAAGUUGCUUUUUCCCAUUUCCAUUUCGAUUUAUGUUUCUCUUUGCACCUUUAAAUUUCCAGCACUGUUAUUGUUUGAUUUUUUAUCUCUUAUGUUUCUCGCAUCUAUUUUGUUCAAUUUGAUGUACUUUUCUGAAUUUACAUUUUGCUUUGAUAUGUUCAUUGAGUUUUGCUUGUUCUUGUUGAACGUAGUAUAGGAUAUUUUCAUUUGGGUUGUGUAUUGUAGAUAGGUUCUGAUAUCUCUGGUUAAAGCUGUAAUUCUGAGUUAGAUGUGCAUAGAAUUGGAGGAUUGAAUGAGAAUUACCACUUUAAGUUCUAUGAACUAAAAAAGACCCCGAAGAGGGCUUGACUUUUCAGAAUGUCUUUCUGAGAGUAAUUGAGAUUCUAUUGUCCAUUCUAAUGCACAUUUGCCUUUGAAUUUGUUUUUACCUAAUGUCCUUAGUUUUGUUUUCAUUUGAAUUUUUUGUAUCUCUGUUGAGUAGAUCUUAGGUUAGUUUGCAUGAUAAUAUCCCUUGUCUCCUUUCAAUUUAUUCUGUUAUAUCAAGUUCCAGAUUCAGUACAUUGAGCUUUUAUUUUCUAGACCAUGUAUAUAGGUAUUUUGCAUUGUUUACAUGUUUCAUGCAUUGCAUUCAUUUUAAUGAUUCAAUUUUGGUUUCUUUCAUGUUUCAAUUCAGUUUCAGUUUCUAUUUUUGUUAAUAUUGUUGUUUUCAUUUGAGAUUUAUUUUUUAAGCUUUGCAUUAUAGCUUUUCAUUAGUAGAAUUAGGAUCAUUGGCAUGUUUCAGUUUCUUCAUUAGUAUAUUUUUUUUCCUUUCUUCUUUUUAUAACAGAAUAGUAGUGUAACUUUAGGAUUUUGCUUAUUAAGAUUUACAUACUCUUUCUUCAUUGCAUCUGACUCAUAACAGUAGGUAGUAUUUUCCUUUAUUCAUACAUCAUUUAAUCAUGCAUUCACAUUUAGUUUCUUCCUUUAGAUUUCAAUUUUUUAUUUUCCCCACCUAGUUUUAGAAAAUGAUAAUUAGGUUAAAUUCUACAAUUUCUAAACUUAACAAGAACCAAGUCCUUGGAUUGAUCCCUAGUCAGCCCUAUAUUACAUUAGUGGGGAUUAGGUUUGUUGACUUUUGUGCGACCAAAAGCCUUUCAACAAUAGUCUAGUGGGUUUUCCUUGGCCAUAGAUGUUUGAAGGACUAACCUUCAGUGUGGAAGCUUGAGUAAGCAAGUUGUCCUACCACACACACAAGUGCAAAACUACUAAAGUUUGACAUCAAUACAUGUAUCUUAAUGGUUAAGUCUUGAGUUAGUGUUUAUAUUCUUAGGAUUUUUUUGAUUUAAUUUUUUUAAUUGUUUUAUUCAUAACUCAAUUUAUGGAUGUUUCUUAGGUGAAAUUAGUUUACCCUUUUGUCUUUGCUUGUUUGUGUGAUUUUUUUUUUUGGAAUGAUCGCGUGGUGUGAAUAGAUGAAGAUGUUUUAGUUAAACAGGUGUUCGAUGGCAAUGCAACAUAUGCGUAGGAUAGUAUGAGUAGUUUUAUGGUAUAUUUGAUCUUUUUUACAAAACUCUUUUAAACCUUUAACUUUAGUAUAGUAACUCUUAGAAUUAAGAUAUCGUUGCAUAUGUUUUGGUGUUAUAAUUAUGUUGGGAUAACUGUAAUAAUAUUUUGUAAUAAUAUUUUAUAUGCUCUCUUUUAAAUUAAUUGUUUUUUGGUUUAAUACCUAUUUUGGUCCCUCCUUUGGGAGGGUUUGUUCAAAGUGGUCCCUCCCUUUUUCAAAAGUUCACUUAAGUCCUAUCUUUUGCAAAAACUGUUCAAAGUGGUCCUUUUUGCUAACGGCGUUAAUUCUGCUAACGGCAGAGCUGCCAGCUGGCUAUUAUGUGUUAAAAAAUAUUAUUAAUUGUGACGUGGAAAUGUAAUAAAAUUAGGAUUAAAAUUAAAAUUGAAAUUGGGGUAAUCUGGGGUAAUUAGGCAAACUGAUUUUGGGGAUCUUCUUCUCUUAAGAACUCCAUUGAUUUGUUAGUGGUGGAUCCAAAUCCUUUUGCACGAUUAUAAUGGGUAGAACAAACACAAGUGAUCUUCCUAUCGCUGGCUGAGAUGGUUCAAGUAAGCAUGGAACAAAGUCUGAGACAUUUACAACAAAGGGCUCUCGUCUGCCNCUGGAAAACUCUGCUUCUUUCUCAGUUUUCUUCNCCUUUUUUUUUUCUCUGCAUUUGGGGUUUGUGAGGUAAAUUUCCAGAGUAGAAAACGGAAAAAAAGAAGGAAUAAUACAUAGUGAAGUAUGAUGCCAGUCUAGGCCAUUGUGGAGGUAUCGAGUGACUGGUAAUUGUCAAUAAACUAAGUUGUCAGUGGUAAAGGUCAUGAUUUUGUAGUUGGUUUGUAAAGAAACUGCUGUAUAAAAUGACAUACAAGUGGUAAAAAGCUCCUUGUCCAAAUUAAUUGCUGAAGGGUUGUCCGAUUUUGUCAACAGUGGUUGUCCGAUUUGCGAUUUGGGAAUUUAGGGCUUCUCUUCUCUGCAGGUUUGAAACGUGAUGGAGAAAAUGCGAUCUGUGCGAACUGGUUGUGUUAUCCGAUUUGGGGUCGGCCAUGGUUGCACAAUCAGAGGCGCAGGGAGCUGCCGUGGAGGCCGAUUUGGCUCGCGUGGAGGAAUUUGGUGUGAGACGCUUUACUGGAGCGACCACCUUCAGCAAGAAGAAGAUCCCAGUUUGCCUAAUUACCAGAUUACCCAAAUUUCAAUUUUAAUUUUAACCCUAAUUUUAUUACAUUUCCACGUCACAAAUAAUAAUAUUUUUUAACACAUAAUAGCCAGCUGGCAACUCUGCCGUUAGCAGAAUUAACGUCGUUAGCAAAAAGGACCACUUUGAACAGUUUUUGCAAAAGGUAGGACUUAAGUGAACUUUUGAAAAAAGGAAGGACCACUUUGAACAAACCCUCCCAAAGGAGGGACCAAAAUAGGUAUUAAACCUUGUUUUUUCUUAUAGGAUAUGUGAUCCUUCCAUAUGAUAAUAGUAUUAAAACUAUUGAAAUGAGAUGUUACCAUACAUAUAAAAACUUAAAUACUAAUUAAAUCUAUAAAAUACAAAUGACUCAUAAUAUUUGAUUUUGACAAAUAAAAAAAGUAAAUCUAAAGUUAUGUUAAAAGGAAUAAAAUGUCUUAUAAAUUAGACAACUAUGUUUUUUUAAACGUGUCUCUCAAGUUUAUAUUAAGUGGUUUCAAGGGAGAAAAAAAAGUGAAAAUGUUGAUUUUAAAUAUAGGUGAUAUACACUUUUAAAAAAGUUAGUCUUUUUCUUACUCAAUUUUGAUUGUAUUAUUUAAUGUGGUUUCGUAUUUUGUUUUAGAUAUAGUUUAUUUUUGUUAAAAAAGAUUAAAAAAUUCUUCUAUUAAAUUGAUAAUAACACCAUUUAAAGAAUCACAUUGUAAACCUAUAAAGAAUAUAUGAUUUUACAAUGUAAAUAACACGACCACUUUGAAUAUUUAUAAUGUCGUAUAUUAUUUAUAUUGUCACGUUAUAUAUUUUCUAAAAUGUGUCAAUACAGAUUUAUUUUAAGAUAUCACACUAACUUUUUUAACAAAAAAGUAAAUAUUAAAUUUAGACGAAGAAAAGAUUGAAAGACUAUAUUUUAUAAUUGGGACAAAAUAUAGGACAGAAAAAAAAAACUAUUAAACCUUUUAAAAAAAGACUAAGUAACCGGGAAUUGGGAUUAGAGUAAUGUAUUACAAGAUACAACGUAGAUGACUUUUGUAUUAGAAUAAUCGUAUCAAGAUUUACAUUUACAUUUAUUUGAUAUAAAAUAUAAAGGUAAAAUAUCAUAAAAAUAUAAAUUUUUAUAUUUUUAAGAAAAAAAUAAAAAAUAAAAAUAAUAUUAAAUGAAUAUAAAAAAUUUAAGUAUGUCAAUUUUUCUUUUAUAUUAACUUAUACAAAAUAUAGAAAGGAAUUGGAUCCAUGGUAAAGCAACUCGUGAAUUCGUUUUCUCUUCAUAAAGAGAAUAUGACAACGCAAACAAAGGGUUUUGGUUCUUCCCUUCUUCACCGGCCUCAAGAUAAGAACAAAAGAAAACAAAUGGGAGAUACUAAGUCACAUUCCACAAAAACACGCUUCUUCCUUUUCUUAGUUACUUCUUUAUAUAUAUAUAUAUAUAUAUAUAUAUAUAUAUAUAUAUAUAUAUCGAUUAACACAAUCAUAUACAAUACAGUUUAAGACUAAUUAAUAUUAUAAAUAUUCAAUUUGUCAGUUUCAUAUAAUUGAAUAAAACCUCUGUAAUUCCAUUAUAAGUAUAAGUAAGGAUUAAAUUUGUUUUUAUCUAAUAUUUUAAUAUAUUUUUAUUUUUAAAUUUUAAAAUGAUUGAAUAUAUUUUUUUUAAUUUAAUAUUUAUUGAAAUUUAUGAUUCAUAAGUAAAAAAUUUUAAAAUAAUUAAAUUAAAAGAAUUUAUUCAUUCAAUUUUAAAACAUGAAGACUGAAAUACUGAAAUGUAUAAAAGUUUCUUAUAUAAAUAAAUUUCAAUUUUAGUUGAAAAUUAAGGAAGAAAUAAAUACUUAUAACCCUAAGUAUCACACAUAUAAAGAAAUAGAGUGAGUUUACAUUAUAUUAAACUCGCAUAAGAUUUUUUAUACCAAAAUCGGAAAAGUCUAAACGAAAAAUGGUUUGAUGUAGUAGUUGUACCUGUUCUAAGACUUAGAGUCAAGGUUGAUGGUUAAUUAUUUUGAUUUGAGAAAUUGAUUUUAUUAUUUAUCUUGAUCUCUUAGUAUUAGCAUUUUCAUUCUAAAAGUUAAUCUUAUUGUUUAAGUAAAUUCUGGUCAUAAUUCUAGUUAAUUCUUUCUAGCUAAUUCUAGAAGUUAUCUUGCAUCAAAUGGUGUCAUUGUGCGAUAAUACAUUUAUUUAGGACAAAACUUAUGUGUCAUAUUAUAAGUGUUAUUUUUGUUCUUCAAUCAAAUUUAAAAUAUUUAGUGACAUUUAAUAAAAAAAAUUAUUAUAAUAUUCCAUUCUUGAAAAUAAUAGCAAUAAUAUUUGUGACAUUGCAUAUGAGGGUUUUUUGGAAAAAUUAAUAGUCGAUAAGUUAAUUUAUAAUUUAUUAUCUAGUCAUGACAGAUAAGAUAUAUAGUUUAUAAGUUUUAAAUUGAUAAGUUAUCUAUUGACUUGAAAGCAUAUUUGGUAAAAUUAGUUGAUAAACUACUAGAUAAAUAAAACUAACAUGAGAAAAAACAUAACUACACCACAGUUUUAUUAUAAAUGUUUUUUAUAGAUAAAAUAUUUAUAUAAUUAUAAUUUUAUUUUUUAUUAAAUAAUUAAAACUUAUUAAAAAUUUAGUAUUUUUAUUUGUUUUUCAAAAACGUAUAGCUGUUUUUUCUUUAAAUAAAAUCAUUUUAUCUACGUAUUGAUCAAAUUUAGUUUUAUUGAUUUUCAAAAGUUAAAUAUUUUUAUUUGAUAAUUCAAAUUACUGUUACAAUAAUUUUUUAACAAAUUUUAUUAUGUUGGAUUUUCAUAUAUAUUUUACUUUAAUUUAUAAUGUUAAUUGUUUUAAUUUUAAUUAGAAUUUUUAAAUAUAACCCAUAAAUAUUAAAAGCACUACACUAAUUAAUUGUCUCCAUAAAAUUUAAAAUACGUUAUAAUAAGUAAAAGAAUUAAAAAUAAUAAAAACUAUAUAAAAAUAUACAGAAUAAUAAUAAAAGAAAAUUUAACAAGUUAUACACUAGUUAAAAUAGCUUGUAGUUUAUAAAUUAUAAUUGUUAAACAAAAUAUUUUCAUUACAUUAUUAAAUAACAAAUUAAAAUGUAGAGAUGUUAAGUGAGUGGUGUAGCUCAGAAGAGUUAGUUCAAAUUUUUAUUUGCUAAAAAUUUUAUAAUCUAGCUAAAUCCAUUGUGGAUUAAUAGGUUUUUAUUUUCCUAACUUAUUUUAUAUAUUUAUUGUAGUAUAAGUAAAAUGAAUUAAUUUGACUAAUUUAUUUAUAACAAUAUAAUUAAAGUAUUUACCUAUUUAGCCAAAUAUUAUUAUAGAUAUAGUAAUUAAAAAUUAAAGUUUUAAUUUAUAUAAUUAGAUAAAUAAAUUAAUUAAGCAUCUAAAAUAUUUAAAUAUUAUUAAACUACAUUUUAGUUUUGAAAAUUAUUAAAUAAUCAAAUUACAUAAUUAAGAGUAACAAAUAAUUAUAAAAAAUUAUAAUAAAAGAUUAUGAAAAAAUAAAUAAAUAAUAAUAAAAAAUUGUUGUAGGUAAAUUAUAUAUUAAUCUAUCUCAAACUCGAUUUGAACCUAUUUAAUAUGCAUAUUAAGUUAAUUUGGUUCACUUUAAUUUACAUUUUAAAAAAGUUAGAUUUUUUUCCCAUCCAAGCCGACGCAACUCAAAUUAGUAACUAAGUAACAAUGUGUAAUAUGAAUGGAAGUGAAUUUAGUGUCCACAAGUAAAAUCUCAAAUUCUAAUUUUGUAGAUGAAUUUAGUGCUACUUUUUCUUUUCUCUCUUAUUUUCGUCUUUCACAAAUUUCUUCUUUGUUUCCUUCCAUUUUUUCUAACCUUUAUUUCUUCAUAUCUCAUAUAAUAGUUUGAUUGAAACUUAAAAUUAUUUCUCAUCAAAUUUUCAAAUAAAGUUUGUUUUCAAGUAUUUUUUUUGAAAAAUGGUUUAAAUAGGUUAAGAAUUGAACUAUAUUUAUGUUUUGAUAAAUAGAAUUUAGUGGGUAUUAAAUAGUAUUUAUUGAGAAUUAAUAUAGAACUUAGAGGGUGUGGUAUAAUUCAUCCUAUAAAAAAGAUGUAUUCUCUAAUAUAAUAAUGAUACAUGUGAAUUUUGAUAGACAAUUGACUUUUAUAUUUGUGAGAGUUUUGUGGAGUUAUCAUCUCAACGUGACUUAGCAUUCACAUUUUUAUAUUUCUUGAGUGUAGCAUUAAUAUAUUUUUCCAAACUCAAUACUAGAACAAUUUUCCACUAUUAUAAAAAUUGUGUAUAAGGUCGAAUAUUUUGGGUUUUUAAUGACGAAUUCGUGAACGAUAUUAUAUCAGGAGAUGUUAAAUUAACGUCAAAUUUUAUCAAUAACGUCAAAUUUUGUCAAUAUAAGACAUUAAUUAAUUUUAUUAUUUUUUUAAUUAAUUGUGAUCAUUUUUUAAAACUUUAUUAGAUCUAAAAAGCAGAAAAUAACAAAUUUCAGUUUUUGGUAUCUUAUGAAGCAUGAACUUUGAUAAACAACAAACAACAAUAAUCAACAACAAACAAUUUCAAUCAUAAAACAACAAACAUGUUCAACUAAAUAACAACCAUAAACAAGUUCAACAAAAAAAACAAAUAAGUUCUUCAAAACUAAAAUGAAAACUAACUUUCAAAAGGUGGGUUCAUCAGAAUAAAGUGUCGUCACCCGUGAAACAGAAUGCGUCUAUGAAGGACAAGAGCACGAAAAUAAUCAGUCAAAACAAACGAAAAUCAUACAUAAAAGUUAAUUAACAUGCAUUUGUAUCAAAUGAAAGAAAGAUUACCUGUGAUGGUCGUCAAACUUCGUUCGAGAAAAGUUUGAGAAGGGAAGAGAGUCAAGCGUGCUAAGAUAAAGUGAAAGAAUUUUCAAUCUCCCGCUCAAAUUUUUAUUGAAUUCACUAACCUUUUAACCGGUCAUUUUUAAUGUUGGUUAUUUAGUGGUUUGACGUUGAACGCGUGACGUUAUACAUUGUUUUUGCACUAGUGGCCCUACUUUCUCAUCAGCAGGAUUCUAACAAAGUCGGGAUAAUCCCCUCAAAUCCUCCUUUAUACACUACCUCCUAACAAAGGAUAAAUGUAAUAUUUCCUCCUUUAAAAUCUUUCCACUAUCCCCAAAGCAUACAACCAAACAUAAAAAUAUUCUCAAUCAAUCUACAUUACAUGCAGUUAAUAUAUUACAUUCUCAUAUAAUUUUAAAUCAUCACACCAUAUCGUACAUAUGUAUUUUACCUCAAUUUAACUUAUCUCAACAUCAAUCACCUAUUAUUUAUUUCAAUUUACAAGUUAACAAUUCAUCAUUUAUUUUUUAUUGUGUUAGCCUAAUAUUCAAAUACAACAUUUCUAAUAAUUACAUUAAAACGUCUAAAAGCAUUUCUCUAGUCACAGACUUCUAAUCAAAGAUCUCAAUCAUCAAAGUAAAGAUUCAUAUGUCUAGUAUCAACUAUCAAAAUUUUAGCUAGAUCUAACCAUUAAUGAAACGAGAAUCUUAAUUUUUAUGACAUGACUCCUAAUAGAAAAACAAAAUAGAGCCCGAAGUUGAAUAAGUGACACCUAACAUCCAAAACCCUUGGGACUCACUGAUUUGAGAGCGUCCAACAAUCCAAAAGUGGUGUUCAACGACACUUCGAGGACAUAUAACGCUACACCAAAUAUUUGAAAUUUCUCUAUUCGUGUUAAUUGAUAAAUUUGACUCUUCUUGAGCUAUUUACCCUUAAUAUAUUUUAUAAGAUCAUAAUAUAAAACUAUCUUAGCUUAAGAAGUACUAAUUUAGACAAUUAAUUGUCUCACAACACAAAAGAACCAUUUCGAGCACAUAAUCGGAACUCAUAAUCUAUAAUACCAAUUUGUAAAUCUAAUAUAAUUAAAUGUGAUCCACCUCUAGUUAUUUGUAACUCAAGACAGUAUAAACCAUUAUAAGAAACCAAAUUACCAAAGAGAUAUAUUAAGUUAACACACCAAGCAUAUAAUCAAUCAUUCAAAUUAAUAAACACAACUCAUUAAUCCUCUAGCCAAUCAAAUUCAUCUCUUUCAUUAAUAACAAUCAAUCCCAAUUAUAGUUUAUACCACAAAUUCCUACCAAACAUAAUUCUAUUUUUAAAAUAGCUGACUUUUGUUACCUCGGUUAAACUUGUCAGAAUCGACUGCAGCGGAAUGGUUAGCGUGGAAUAACAAACCAAGAGGGUUUUUAAUACAAACGCGUGCCUUUUAAUUUCUACUCAAUUUAACUUACUACGCAAAUAAUAAUAACAAGUAAAAAGAGUAAGGUUGAGAGAAAUCUGCACAGAUGAUUUUUAUACUGGUUCGGAUCUUACCAAUCCUACGUCCAGUUGUUAAUCUAAAACAAGAUUAACUUCCACUAACACAAAACAAUUACAAAUUACAAUCACAAAGAAAUAAUUUGUAAAGGUUUAGAAAACACCUCUCUUGAAGUCACAAGAGAUGAGACAACACCUCCUUUGAAUCUUCACAAAGGAUGAAACACCUCCUCCGAAUACUUCACGAAGGAUGAACACCUCCUUAGACACACCAAGGAUGAACACCNN